rnacentral:lncRNA from 1 species
CAACACAGCAGCAGCGCUGAUCAACAGGCCGUGCGGCUGGAUGCUCAGGUCCAGCUCUGGCACCACACCUUCGGCUACGUCAAGUCCAUGGCGCUCAAGACCGCCCUGGACCUCCACAUACCCGACACCAUCCACCAACAUGGCGGCUCAGCCACCCUCCCACAGAUAGUCACCGAGGUCACACUCCACCCGUCAAAGAUACCAUGCCUGCGACGCCUCAUGCGUGUUCUCACCGUCACCGGCGUCUUCAGCGUCCAGCAUCACUCGGCCGACGGCGGCGGUGAUGAGCUUCUGUACGGGCUCACUCCGGCGUCUCGUCUUCUCGUCGGCUCGGCGCUGAACGUGAGUCCUUUUCUAACCUUGAUGCUCGACACCCUCUUCGUGUCUCCCUUCCUCGGUCUCCGCGAGUGGUUCCAGCACGAGAUGCCCAAUCCGUCACCCUUCAAGAUGGCCAAUGGACGGGACCUCUGGGACCUGAACGACCACGAUGCAAGCUUCGGCGAGCUCUUCGACAGAGGGAUGGUCGCGGAUAGCGACUUCAUCAUGGACAUCGUGGUCAGGGAGUGCGGCAACGUCUUCCAGGGGAUUAGCUCCCUGGUCGACGUCGCCGGCGGGCUCGGUGGCGCUACCCAGGCCAUCGCCAAGGCGUUCCCGCAUGUCGAGUGCAGCGUGCUGGAGCUCUCACAUGUUGUCGCCAGAGCUCCCACCGGCACCGAUGUGAAGUACAUCGCCGGUGACAUGUUCGAGAGCAUUCCGGCGGCAAACGCUGUCUUCCUCAAGGUACACGGCCAUACCACUGCGUACGUACUAUCCUAGGAUUUAUUUGAAGCAAAAAGGUUAACAACACCAGUGUGCCAUAAACAGUUAUAAUUUUGUUCUCGUUUAGUAUUGUGAUUCGUCACUUUCAUUCGUUUGGUUUCAGUGGGUCAUGCAUGACUGGGGUGAUGCCGACUGUGUCAAGAUUUUAAAGAACUGCAAGAAGGCUAUACCCUCUAAAGAAAGAGGAGGAAAGGUAAUAAUAUUGGACAUCAUGGUUGGAGCAGGGUCAUCGUCAGACCAGAAGCAUGUGGAGACGCAAGUCUUGUUCGAUCUCUUCAUCAUGUUUAUCAAUGGUGCCGAGCGAGACGAGCAAGAGUGGAAGAAUAUUAUCUUUGAAGCUGGAUUUAGCGAUUACAAGAUUAUACCUGUUCUAGGUGUCCGAUCAAUAAUCGAGGCCUACCCAUAGAAAUUUAUGUAAUAAGUAUGUGUGAGGUCUGCUCGGGCCAGGAAAAUAAUUUGGUAACUAAAAUAUGAAAUUUCAGAAAUAUUGUUGGAAUUUCGGCACAUAUUUUUUCCUUGAAAUUUGUUUUUGGCAUGAUUCACUAAAAACUGCCUCUAAUUCCUCAUUAUACGAAAUAGACUCAUUAUAUGAAAUUUGUGUAAACAAAAUAGGAUAAUUAUCACAAGUUUAACGCAUCAAAUAGGCUCAUUAUUAUAUGAAAUUUCUGCAAAUAAAAUUUAUCAGACCCUAUUAAUAAACACGAAAUUAUGAAAAUAUCGUGCGCUCAACUUUUUUCCUAUACUCGAAAGCACGAGAAGUUUGUGUUGCCAUGUCUCGCUUCGUUUUUUAGAGCAAAUAACAGAGUUUCAUUAAUCACUGCAGGCAUUACAAUCUUGAUAAUUUAUCUCUUUAAGCCAUUCAAGAGUGUAACUGAUCCAAGAACAUUCUCGGUUUAUAAUGGAGAGCCCUCCUCACACAGCCAUGAACUGCAUAGUUGGUAUCGUCCCUUCUUACAAAAGAAUUGAGAAACUAGCAAAGCAGAACACCUGCCUAACUCCUCGAUUUCAUGCCUUAAAGCAGAACACCUGGACAAAAUGUUUACUCCCAGUUGGAGGUUCCAACCGGGACAAAAGGUGGUGGCCCUUUUGUCCCGGUUGGAGCCUCCAACCAGAGUAAACUUUCAACCGGGACAAAAGGUGUUCCUUUUUAUCUCGGUUGAAGUUUUUGACCGGGAUAAAAACUCAUCCCCAUUAUAUACCAAGACAGAGGUCUUUCUGCCUCCUCCAGCCCGAGCCAGUCCACCACAAAGACAGAGAGCUCAGCUUCACCUACUCUCCGGUGGUGCCGAAGCAAGGGAGGUGCUGCUCGAAUUUUUUUCCCUCAUUUUCGUGGGAAUUUCACUCAGCCAACACAAGUGUUGUGAAGGUUUGCUACUUCAUCCUCGUGUUACGCUUUGAUUUAUGCUUUGGAGAUGGAAAGUUUAUUUGCUAGAAUGUGAUGAAGUAGAAAAUGGAGAGGUAUUUUGAGCUAGAAUGUGAGGGAGAUUGAUGUGUCAUAUAUAGUAUGUAUUCUUGUAGUGGUUUAAGAAUGAUGCUACCUUGUCUAGACGGUUUAUCUUAUCAAAUUCAAUAUGGUUUUUCAAAUCCAUACUUGUUGAACUUGCAUACCGUGUUCAUCUCGACGAGAAUGUUCUCCGCCGAGCAGCAACGUAUUUCAAGAAGGAGGUUCGAUUAUACGAGAAAGAGUGGAUACGGACAUCGUGACCGUGUCCCCUUUUUCAUAGAAUCGAACCUCUUUCAUGACAAAGUGCGGUGCCGCCCAGUUGAGAACAUGCUCGCCAGAUGAUCACAGUCUUCAAGUUUAACUAGUUCUGCAGUGCUAAGGUAAGAAUUUUUAUACAUAGAUGGCUUCUGCUACUGGAGGAAGUGGUGAUGGUGGGGGCGAUCCUCAUUCCUCUUUUGGCAAGAGGAAAAUCAUAGUUGGCCCUCAGGAUAAGCCGAAGAAAAUGAGGGCGUUGGAGAAAGCAAUGCUUUGUUAUUUGCAGAAACGUCAUGAAGAACCUAUUGCCGCGGGUCAGGAACCUCCUUUUGGUGGUCAUUAUGCUCCACCCUCCCGGAUGUUUCACAUCCACUUAGUACUACUGUUUCAGGCGGCACAAAUAAACCACAGAAUGAGGCUGGGUCAGCGGAACCUUCGUCUUCACCGCCCAAGGAUGCUUAAAGUCCUCCUAGAUAAUAACCAGUGGAUGGCUUGUUGUAUUGUAUCAUGUUGUUUGGAUCUUUAAUUUAAAUAUGUGUAUUUGUAUCUAUAUCUAAACUUUCAGCAUUAUUUGCACUACAACGUCAAAACGUUUGACAUGCUUUCAAUCGUGAAUCCAUUUUCAAGUGUAAUCAAUUUUCACGCGUAAUCCAUUUUCAAGUGUAAUCAAUUUUCACACAUAAUCCAUUUUAAAGUGUAAUCAAUUUUCACGCGUAAUCCAUUUUCAAGUGUAAUCCAUUUUCAUGCGUAAUACGAUGCAGAUGGACCGACAAGGGAUGUAUAAUGCAGACAGACAGAGCAAGGUGUUUAUUGAUGGCUUGCAUUAUUUUCUCGAAGUGGCCAAAGCGAACAAGGCAGAGAAUGGGUUCGUAUGUUGUCCAUGCUUCCAAUGCAAUAACAAGAAGGGCUAUUCAAAGGAUUCCUGGGGGACUAUUCAUAGCCACUUGUUUAGAUACGGUUUCAUGCCUAACUAUUUGGUUUGGACCAAGCACAGUGAAAGAGGGGUUGUAAUGGAAGACGGCGAGGAGGAGGAUGACAACAUUCCGGACUGGGUUGCAGACCAAGCCUUUGUAGAUACUACAAUGGGCGAGGCUGAUGAAGAUGAGUUUGCAGAAAAUGGCCCUACUGAUGACUUUGGUCAGGUGCUACGAGAUGCACACAGAGAUUGCGAAACUGAGAAGGAAGCAGCAAAGUUGCAGCGCAUGAUAGAUGAUCACCAAAAACUGUUGUACCCAGAUUGCCAGCAGGGCCAUAAAAAACUAGGUACGACACUAGAAUUUGUGCAAUGGAAGGCAAAAAAUGGUGUGUCCGAUAAGACAUUUCAAGGGAUGUUGAACAUUGUCAAGAAGAUUCUUCCCAAGAAUAAUGAAUUACCAUCCACAACAUAUGAAGCUAAACAAAUUAUUUGCCCUCUCGGAUUGGAUGUUCAGAAGAUACACGCAUGCCCUAAUGACUGUAUCCUCUAUCGUGGUGAUGAAUACGAGAAAAUGGAUGCUUGUCCCGUCUGUGAAGCGCUGCGGUAUAAGAUCAGGUGAGAUGAUCCUGGUGAUGUCGAGGGGCAGUCUCCCAAGAAGAGAGUUCCCGCGAAGGUGAUGUGGUAUUUCCCUAUAAUACCACGCUUGAAGCGCUUGUUCAGGAACAAGGCGAAUGCUAAGUUGAUGCGAUGGCACAAAGAAGAACGUAUGGAAGAUGAGAUGCUGAGACACUCCACAGAUGGGGCCCAGUGGAGAUCAAUUGAUAGAACAUUCCCGGACUUUGAAAGUGAAGCAAGGAAGAUAAUGUUUGGUUUAAGUAAUGAUAGAUCCAAUCCAUUCGGCGAGUUGAGUAGUGGCCAUAGUACUUGGCCUGUGACCCUAUGUAUGUUCAAUCUUCCUCCUUGGUUGUGCAUGAAGCGGAAGUUCAUUAUGAUGCUGACGCUUAUCCAAGGCCCAAAACAACCCGGCAACGACAUUGACGUAUACCUAAGACCGUUGGUUGAUAACCUUUUACAGCUCUGGAAGGAAGAAGGUGUACGUGUGUGGGAUGAGGAUAGACAAGAGAUCUUUAAUCUACGAGCAUUGUUGUUCGUAACCAUCAAUGAUUGGCCUGCACUGAGUAACCUUUCGGGACAGACAAAUAAAGGAUAUCGGUCCUCCACCCACUGUUUAGACGACACAUAUAGCAUGUAUUUGAAGCAUUGUAAGAAGGUCAUCUAUAUGGGUCAUCAUUGAUUUCUCCCUGCUCACCACCAGCUGAGAAAGAGCGGGAUGCAUUUCAAAGGGGCGCCAGACCAUCGUAAAAAACCUGCACACCGUAAUGGAAAGCGUGUCUUUGAGAUGAUAAAGAAUGUAAAUGUAGUCUUUGGAAAGAGUCAUGGUAGCCAACCUGUUCCGAACGACGAUAACGGACGUGCACCCAUGUGGAAGAAAAAGUCAAUAUUUUGGAAGCUACCUUAUUGGGAAAUCCUAGAGGUUCGCAAUGCAAUAGACAUGAUGCACCUGACGAAGAAUCUUUGCGUGAACGUGCUAGGCUUCAUGGGUGUUUAUGGGACCUCGAAAGAUACAUUGGAAGCACGACAGGACUUGAAAGCCAUGGGGCAACGAGAUGAUCUACAUUCGGAAAAGAGAGAUAAUGGACAGCACUACUUACGUCCUGCUAGUUACACUCUCAGCAAGGAAGAGAAGGAUACCAUGUUUGAAUGCUUGAAUAGUAUGAAGGUCCCGUCUGGGUACUCCUCGAAUAUAAAGGGAAUAAUAAAUAUGAAAUAAAAGAAGUUUACAGAUCUCAAGGCCCAUGACUACCACAUGUUGAUGACCCAGUUGCUUCCAGUUGCACUGAGGGGUGUUCUACCAGAAAAUGUCCGGUUGCCGCUCAUAAAGCUAUGCGCAUUUCUCAAUGCGACUUUGCAGAAGGUAAUCGAUCCAUCCAAGCUAUCAAAGCUACAGAACGAUGUGGUGCAAUGUCUUGUCAGUUUUGAGUUCGUAUUUCCUUCAUCCUUCUUCAAUAUUAUGACACACUUACUGGUUCACCUAGUAAAAGAGAUUGGUAUUCUCGGACCUGUAUACCUGCACAAUAUGUGGCCUUUCGAGAGGUUCAUGGCAGUUCUAAAAAACUAUGUUCUUAAUCAUGCCCAUCCAGAAGGAAGCAUCACCAAGGGAUAUGGAACAGAGGAGGUGAUCGAGUUUUGUGUUGAUUUUAUUGAUUCAAUUGACUCGAUUGGGGUUCCAACUUCACGCCACGAGGGGAGGCUCCGAGGAAUGGGCACCCUCGGAAGGAAAUCAAGUUUUAGCAAUGAUACUGAUGUGUUCGACAAGGCAAACUACACUGUUCUACAACAGUCAUCCUUUGUGUCUCCGUAUAUUGAGCAGCACAGGCAGAUGGUAGUUUCCAAAAACCCGACCAAAUCCGAUGCUUGGCUUACACAUCAUCACAUGGAAACUUUUCCCUCCUGGUUGCACCAACAACUUAUGGGUAACUCUGAGAUUCACCCAUAGCUUGCUUGGUUAGCCAGGGGACCUGCUAGCACAAUCGUGAAAUUCAAAGGCUAUGAGAUAAAUGGUUAUACAUUUUACACGAGAGCCUAGGACCAGAAAAGCACGAACCAGAAUAGUAGUGUCCGCAUAGAUGCCAUAGAUAGAAAUAAUAGCAAGAAGUCGUAUUAUGGUUUCAUACAGGAGAUAUGGGAACUCGAAUACGGACCACUGUACAUCCCUCUAUUUCUUUGCAAUUGGGUGAAGCUAACUGCCGUAACCAAAGAUCAGUACGGAAUGACAAUAGUAGAUCUGAGCAAGACUGGAUACAGUGAUGACCCAUUCGUACUUGCCAAUGAUGUGCAUCAGGUUUUCUAUGUGAAGGACAUGUCUAGCAAACCCAAGAGAAAUCCAGAAGAGACAUGGGAGCCAAAGUGCCACAUAUUUCUUCCAGGUAAAAGAAAAAUCGUGGGAGUCGAGGAUAAAACAGACCAAUCAGAUGAUUAUGAUCAGUUUGAUGGCAUGCCUCCAUUCACAGUUGAAGUUGACCCAAGUAUCCUGCUAUCCAAAGAAGAGGCUCUGUACUUACGCCGCGAUCAUGAUCAAGGAANNNNNNNNNNNNNNNNNNNNNNNNNNNNNNNNNNNNNNNNNNNNNNNNNNNNNNNNNNNNNNNNNNNNNNNNNNNNNNNNNNNNNNNNNNNNNNNNNNNNNNNNNNNNNNNNNNNNNNNNNNNNNNNNNNNNNNNNNNNNNNNNNNNNNNNNNNNNNNNNNNNNNNNNNNNNNNNNNNNAAUUUUUUUUGCGCGUUUAAAUUAUUUAAUUGAAUAAUUUCUUGAUCAUAGCGAUGUAGUAAAAUAAUUAUUUUAGAGGCUAAACGAACUGGUAUAGAAUUAAUGACUAAUUCACACUUAUUGUCAAUAUACUUGCUAAUUAAAUUUAUUUUUGCAUGUUCAAAAUAUGUCAUGUUUUUUAUUUUUGCAUCCUGAAAUAGUGAAAACAUAAAUAAAAUCCUUUUUCAAAAAACAGGUAGGAGAUGAAAGUGUGGGAAAAGGCCCUUUUGUCCCGGGUGCCAAUAGAAACCGGAACAAAUGGACCUUUUAUCCCUGUUGCCAAAAUCAACCGGGAUCAAAGGCCGUCCCUUUUGUCUCGGGUGCCAACACCAACCGGGACAAAAGGCCCCCCUUUUAUCCCGGUUGACAACUGCAACCAGGAUAAAAGGGUAGUUUUCGUUGCCCGCCGGGGAUAUUCGCUUUUAUCCCGCUUACAGUUAGCAACCGGGAUGAAAGGGGGGGGCCCUUUUGUGCAAGUUGGAGUUGGCNNNNNNNNNNNNNNNNNNNNNNNNNNNNNNNNNNNNNNNNNNNNNNNNNNNNNNNNNNNNNNNNNNNNNNNNNNNNNNNNNNNNNNNNNNNNNNNNNNNNCGAUUCGCCUGCGCCAGACCGCCUCCUCCUCCAUCGCCCCGGCCCGCCUCCGAUCCUCCACGAGGCGCCCCCUCGACCUCAUCGCCGCUGGCCGCCUCCAUCGCGGGGCCUCGUCGCUGCCUCCAUCAACGCCACAUCCUCUGUCGCUGCCACACCCUCGUCCGUCAUGAUGCCUCGUCGCCGCCUCUGUCGCGCGCGCCACCUCCGUCCCUCAUCGCCGGCCGCCUCCAUCCCUCGUCGCCGGCCGCCUCCAUCCCUCGUCGCCGGCCACCUCCGCACGUUGCUGCUGCGGCCACCUCGCUCCAUCCCCGCCUCCGCCGUCCUGCCACCCCGGCCACCUCGUUACCCAGCUAGGCACCGCGCGAGGUCCUCCGACACUGGCGCCGGCAACAAACGGCUCUUGCUGACGCAAGCCCAGGCUUGCGUCAGCAAGGGCCUUUUUUAUUUUUUAGUUAGAAAAAUGAAUAGAUAUUAGUAGAUUAGUUAGAAAAUCAAUAGAUAUUUGUAGAUUAGUUAGAAAAUAAGUAGAAAAUCAGUUGAUAAAUUUUGUAGAAAUUCAUUCAAAUUAGUAGGAAUUAGUAGUAAUUUGCUAGAAAUUCCAAUAAAUAUGUAGAAAUUAGUAGAAAUUUGGUAGAAAUUCUUACAAAGUACUACUAAUUUGUUGAAAUUUGUAUAAACAUUCCGGACUUUGUGGGAUUCAUGUUAUUGUAAAAUUAUUAGGCAUUAGUAGAAAUUUUGUAGAAAUUCCAAUAAAUAUGUAGAAAUUAGUAGAAAUUUGGUAGAAAUUCUUACAAAGUACUACUAAUUUGUUGAAAUUUGUAUAAACAUUUCGGACUUUGUGGGAUUCAUGUUAUUGUAAAAUUAUUAGGCAUUAGUAGAAAUUUUGUAGAAAUUCCAAUAAAUAUGUAGAAAUUAGUAGAAAUUUGGUAGAAAUUCUUAAAAAGUACUACUAAUUUGUUGAAAUUUGUAUAAAAAUUUCGGACUUUGUGGGAUUCAUGUUAUUGUAUGAUUUCAUGUAUAUACCCUUAUGUACAUGUAACUAAGGCGAUUUCAUGUACGUUUCAUUUCGUGUGAGGUUCCCAUUUCAUGAUCUAGUUAUAUGAUUCGUGACUGUCAUGUAUGAUUCCAUGUAUGUUUCAAUCAGUAGUUGAAAUGGCAGAUGACGAGAUCACAAUGUAUCUCAUGAAGCAGAUUAUUGCUAGUGAUGGUAGGGGCGACAAUCUUCCAAUAUCGUACACCAAUGAAGAGGGCACCUAGGCGGACAUGUUCCUCAACAUGUUCGGUGGUGGGAAUGAAGAGCCUGAGCUCCAGCAACACCUUGCCAUGGAGGAAGGUUCCGGCGAGGUAUAUAUAAUUUCUAUUGUUUGAUGCCACCAUUUAUACUACGUACUAAUUAAUGAAUCCUGAACUGUUAGCCCUCUGAAUCGAUGAAAGUGCAGAAGACCCGAGGUCGUACAAAGGUGAUGGAAGGGAGGCUUGUCAUCACGGAAGUGACAGAAGAGGGUAGGCCAGUUGCUCCCGAAAAAGUAGCAAAGAAGUAUGUGAGUCAGAUUGGGGCAAUCAUAAGGGACAACGUGCCUAUCAGCAUCAGAGAAUGGAAGGGCAAAAGCACUAAUCUGUACGCGCUCCCGGAGACACAAAAGAAUAUGCUGUGGGAAGAUGUCAAGAGACAUUUCACAUUUCCCGAAGGAUAUAUUGAAAAGGAUGUGAAAGCGUGGAUGUUGAAGAAGAUAGCUACACAAUUCCAGACAUUCAAGAAUAUGCUGGAUGCCAACUACAUUAAGAAGGGCCGAACUCCAGAUUUCAUUGUGUGGCCAAAGUUGAGGGACCACUGGGAGACAUUUGUUGAAUAUAAGAGGAGUGAAGAUGGUGUGAAAAAGAUCCAGACCAACACUACAAAUUCUGGUUAGAAGGGGUACCAUCAUCAUCUAGGGCGAGGUGGUAAUGGCACAACAAUUCCCAAAUGGAAGAAGAUGGAACAAGAUCUGAUCGAACGGGGAAUCGUACCUGCAACUAUUGAAUGGCACCGGUCGGGAACCCAGCUGGGACUGCUUCGGCUUCUGGGAGCGGCAGCUCAGCUACAGCUCCAUCUUCGAGCGCCGGGUGUAGCUCGUAGACGCCGUCAGCAAGAUGUAACUCUACACAAAUGCAAUGCAGGAGUUAGUGUUUAGACGGUUAUUUCAACAACACUUGCAGUUUAAGCUCGGACACUUGUAGCAAGGCUACAGAAAAGGUGGGGAAGUUUGCUUUAGUUGGUGGAGAGCAAGAUAAAAGGGGUCGGAGGGGGAUAAACUUUUGAUCUGACCCUUAAACUUUAAGGAAUAACUGUGUUCGGGGUCCUUAGACUUAUCGCGGAGAAAUCCUGAUCUUUUACACAGAUACCCUCGGGUCAAGGAAACAGAUACAGCCAAGUCCUCGGGCGAGGCGGAAAAGGGUCGGCGGAACAGACAGGGUCGGGCGAGACAGAGAAAGGGUCAGGUGAACCGGAAAGGGGUCGGCAGCUUACCUUCGGUUUACAGGUGAAGCUUGGGGUCGGGAAGAACAGACUUGGGCGGAAGGUCUUAAGCACUAAGGCUUGGGUGGCGGCAAUGUCCGGCGGUGCUCCGGCAGCGGCGGAGCUUCUUGUGGGCCACAAAGAAGCUCUAGCACAGCACGGAGGAGCGUCUGGCUGGGUGGAUUGGGGAGAAGCGGGUCUGAGCGGAGAAGGGAACUUCUCAAGAGUUUUAGUGGGACUGCUCAAGGGUGCUCAUAGUAGGGGCGGUGAAACAGCAAGGGCGAAGGAACUCCGAUGGGACUCUGGCAUUCCCUUUUAUAGCUGCGCGGAAGAGAGAGAUUUCGGGCAGCACGAAGACCGGGGAGAAAAGGAUGGAGUGCGCUACCAUGGCGGUGAUUGAGCGGCGAUGGGCGGCGAAACAGGACUUCGGAGAUAGCGUCUUCGGCCAUUGGGCACUGGAGACAAGGCAGCGCAGGCGUUGUUUUGCCGGGGCUGAGAUUUGGCAGAGGCGGGCGUCAUCGAGCGGCGGAUUUGAUUGGUGUGACAGGGAGAAAGGCGCUGCAAGUGAGGUUGCAACAGGCGAAGUGACAAGGCGAACGGCAUCGCAGUCGAGCUCGAAACAGCGGCAUUGUCGGAGCACGGCACUGGUGGGGCGAGAAAAAGGGGCUGUCGCUGCCGAAGUCGGGGUUGGCGAGGGAGGAAUCGUCACGUAGCGAGUUCGUGGGCGACGCGACUAUGGAGAGGUGGCGGAAAAGCCGGAAGGCAUCGGGUCUUGCAGCCGAGGAUCCGGCGAGAUGAUGGGCAUGAGCUGCGAGGCGGUCUGACGCAGCAGGCGGCAAAGCUCUGCCACGGCGGCGACGGGGCACCAUGGCGCGGCCGGCGAGGGUGCGAGCGAGAUGAGGCGAUGCAGAAAGGGUUGCAGAGGGGCUUCCGCUGCGAUUGGAAAGGAGGACGCGGGAAUCCAUCCUGUCGCGGCCGGCGACUGGGCGAAGCGGCGGGCGUCGGAGGGAUUAAGCCACGUGGUGGAGAAGCUCUAAAGCGGGCGCAUGCUGCUCGGCGUGUCUGCCUCGGGAGAUCCGGGGAAAAGAUUUGCGGGACCACCGGUCAGUCUCGGUUUCUCCUCUGCUCAAGAUUGAAGAGAACACUGCUGUUGAGGCUUAGAAGGAAUCGGUGGUUCUGGUUGGGGUUUUCAGGGGUCGGGACCGGAAACUGGAGGUUGAGCGCUUAAGCUCAAGGGAGCUGAGUCAGCGGAAAUUAGGGACUCGGAUUAGGAUUAACUCGGCUGAUUUAACCAGGGUCGUUACAACUACUAAUUUGUAUAAAUUUGUAUAAAUAUUCCGGACUUUGUGGGAUUCAUAUUAUUUUAUGAUUUCAUGUAUAUACCCUUAUGUACAUAUAACUAAGGUGAUUUCUAUGACUGUCAUGUAUGAUUCCAUGUAUGUUUCAAUCAAUAGUUGAAAUGGCAGACGACGAGACCGCAAGGUAUCUCAUGGAGUAGAUAAUCGCUGGUGAUGGUAGUGGCGACAACCUUCCACUAUCGUACACCGAUGAAGAGGGCACCCAGGCGGACAUGUUCUUCAACAUGUCCGCCGAUGGGAAUGAAGAGCAAGAGCCCCAGCAACACCUUGCCGUGGCGGAAGGUUCCGGUGAGGUAUAUAUAACGAAUCUUGUAUUAUUUCACGCCACCGUUACUACUACGUACUAAUUAACAAAUCUUGAACUGUUAGCCCUCUGGAUCGACGCAAGGGCAGAAAACCCGAGGUCGUACAAAGAUGAUGGAAGGGAGGCUUGUCAUCACGGAAGUGACAGAAGAGGGCCGGUCGGUUGCUCCCGAGAAAGUAGCAAAGAAGUACGUGAGUCAGAUCAAGGCAAUCGUCCGGGACAACGUGCCUAUCAGCAUCAGAGAAUGGAAGGGCAGAAGCACUAAUUCGUACGCCCUCCUGGAGACAGAAAAGAAUAUGCUGUGGGAAGACGUCAAGAGACAUUUCACAUUCCCCGAAGGAUAUAUUAAAAAGGAUGUGAAAGCGUGGACGCUUAAGAAGAUGGCUACACAAUUCUAGACAUUCAAGAAGAUGCUGGAUGCCCACUACAUUAAGAAGGGCCGAACUCCAGACUUCAACGCGUGGCCAAAGUUGAGGGACCACUAGGAGGCAUUUGUUGAAUAUAAGACGAGUGAAGACGGUGUGAAAAAGAUCAUGACCAACACUACAAAUGCUAGUCAGAAGGGCUACCAUCAUCAUCUGGGGCGAGGUGGUUAUGGCUCAGCAAUUCCCAAGUGGAGGAAGAUGGAACAAGAUCUGAUCGAAUGGGAAAUCGUACCUGCAACUAUUGAAUGGCCCGAACGAUCAAAAAAAUUGGUACUACGCUCAUGGAGGCUCCCUGAGCCAAGAGGAUGGGACGUUGAUUUUCAAUGACACAAUACGUGAGAAGGCCGAACAUCUUGUGAAGAACAUUGAAGAUUCUAAGGCUGGGAGGUUGAAGGUGGACCGAGAAAAUGAUGAGCUCACAUUGGCCCUCGGUAAUCCCGAGCACCCAGGACGUUGCCGAGGGUUCGGGGUCAUUCCGUGGAAGUUUGCUUUCCGAGGUGACAGCGCAUCGUACAGAAGCCGGAAGCGAAGAAAGGAACAGAUCGAGGAGAGCUGGCGGUAGAUGCUAGAAUCCAAAGUGCAGGCACAAGAACAAUGAAUGAUGGAGGAAAUCAAUCGUCGAGUGGCCCACGCAGUUGCGGAGUUGACCCAAUCUGGAGCAUUGCCGAAUCCUAACAAUGUCAGCCCUUCUUAAUGCCUCUUGAGCAGUUGUGCUUCUACAGGGGUCCCCGAUGCGCAGACGCCAAGGUUACCCGUGGAGGAGCAACGGUUCCCCGUGGAUGUCAUCACGCAACGCACCACAUGUGAGUUGCAUGCACCGGUCGGCAACCUCACUAUUAAGGUAUACUUAAUAUUUAUGCAAUCUUGUCAAUUGAUCCAUGCCUCGUGAUCGGAGUUUAACUUGUUUACUUCUACUAUAUGUACAGGCAGCGUACGGGAGUGCGUUAGCAACCCUGGCGGGGUAGAGCAGUCAUGGCAUGGAGAUUCCACCUGGCUACGCCAGCGUCCGCGUAGAGCAAAUAGUUGAUAGCCAAUAUGAAGGUCUAGAGCUCGACCUCCCAGGAGGCGAUGGGGAAAAGACACUGGCAGAUGCGCUUCAUGGGAUCAUUCUAUGGCGAAAACGCUACAUCAUUAUUCCCGGCAUGGAGCCAUCUCCUCAGAGCUCAAGACCACUCCCCGUAGAUCCCCAGCAGUGACCUUCUUCUCAUAGCUCGAGACCGUCAUCUCCUGCACAACCUGCUCUAGGACCAUCCCUUCCAUCUAUAUCAAGGUCUCCAUCUCCACCACAUCCUGGUGGUUGGAGCGACGACGACAAUAACAACAUCCCUCCCCGAUCACCGUCGCCGGCACCAAGAGCGACCCCCAUGAAGGAACCUGCACCACCACUAAAGAAGUCACGAGCACCGCCUCCCAAGCAAAGAUAGAGAAAGAAGAAAACAAAGGAGCCUGAAGUGACUCGUAAGGAACGCUGGGAGGCAAUGUCUCAUGCGGAACAGUGGGUAGAAAUCCAAUGAGAGGCCAGUGAGUGGUUCAAGAAACAAGCCGAAGAAAAAAAAGCAAGGGAGAUGGAGCCACCGCCAGUAAAUCGAAGAGAUUUAAACUUUUUUAUCAGGAUGGAAGAAGGAGCCAAGAAAAGGAUACCACUCUUAUCAAAGUAUGAACGAGUUUUAGUAAAGGCUGAUGAGAAGGAUAAAAGGAAAGGAAAGUCAUCUUCCAGUGGUGCUGUCCCCGACCUCAGCCAUUUAUCAAAAAACGACGCUCAAAAGGUAAAAGUAAUGCCCUUGGAUCAACAAGCAAAAGUAUUGAAGUUCAUGCAAGAAACAGGUCUUGGACUUGAUGAAUGCUUAAGGCAAGUUGAGAUGCCAACUACACCGCCCCCUAAGCCGAGAUGGCCUUAUGAGCUAGGCAAACCUCUAGUAAAGCCUUCAUUGGUAUGGAAGCUAUCAACAAAGAUGUACGCAUUCCAUCAAUGGUACAUGAUGGCAUCCGCCGACUCGAGGGAGAUGCUCGGCAUGAAGGUAAAACCGAUAGAUUUUUACGGCGAAGGCGAGAAAGUGUUGUGGCUAGACUUCAAGGAUAUAUACGAAGUGUACCAUCAUGAUGCCCUGGACGUCUCUCUGAUCAGCGCUUGGGUUCUGUAAGUGUCCGUUUAUCUCUACAUGUUAAUUUUGGCGUGCGUCACCGUACUAACUUCAUCUUCCAUUUCAUGUAGGAUGCUAAUUUAGACAUGCCGCCGAGAGGUGUACCUACAUAUAGGCUUCAUGGAUCCAUCUGUAGUUAACCAACAACAGAUACAAUUAGCGCCGGAAAAAACCUUGGUGGAAGUAUACAAUUUCCUAGACAAACAAACAUUCAAGGAUUUCAUACUACUUCCAUACAACUUCAAGUAAGUGUGUGUAUACCGUCUACUUUUGAUGUCUUUUUCCUUAUCUCUACAUGUUAGUUAGCUCUAAUAUGCAUGAACAUUUUACGUAUGCAGCUUCCACUGGAUCCUUAUUAUAAUUGAGCCUGAAAGAAGCCACGUCACUGUCUUCGAUUCGUUGAGGAAAGAUCCGGUGGAGUACCAAGACAUGCAAGACAUGCUAGGCUUGUAAUAAUUCUGGACCUUUAUCUCUAUGCAAAAGUUUGUUUCCUAAAUUUUAUCCCUGUUACACUAUAUCAUUCAUUAUUCUAAUCCGCAACGCAUGGAAACAAUUCAUAAGGACACACAAAGGUCCAUUCAAAGAAAAACUUACAUGGAACACAGACUUCCCGGUAUUUAUGUAGUCUGCACAUUUAGUACAUUGUAUAACACGAAUAUUUCAUAACUUAUUUUUUCCGCGCUGAAGUGCUUAGGACAGGAACCCGGGAAUAAUCUAUGUGGCUACUACAUCUGUGAGCACAUGCACAGUUUUAUGGGACCCAAGGGACUAAAGAUGACGCCGCACAACUUUAAAGUAUGUAAAAUAAAACUAUUACUAGUUAAUUAUUUUCUAGCUCCUUAUAUUUAAUUGUUCGUGUAACAUUCACAAAUUUCCAAAUUAUAGAUGUUAAAUAUUCAACAAGGACUCUUGAAGAAAGAAAGAGUAGCGGCAAUAUGUGAAGGUCUCAUUGGAUUUCUAAUGGACAAGGUGGUAAAUCCAAAAGGAGAAUUUUAUUACGAUGGACGAUAAUUAGACACUCCGAUCAGCAACACCUCGACGGGAAGAUUGUAGAUAGAUACUUUGAUUUAUUUGUAUAUAUAAUACGCGCUAAUUAUGAUCGAUUUGUACUAGUUGAAUUGUGUAUAAGAAUUGUGUAUAUAAUAGUAAUUGUAUAAUUACAAAUCCCAUUCGUUUAAAUACUAGUUGAUUUCAUUCUAAAAAAAAAAUCUCAACUACUAAAGGUUAACAAAAGGGCCGCGGUACUACGUACAUGAUGCAUGCAUGAAAAUUUCAGGCGCCAGGCAGGGUGCCAUGCAGGGCGCCAUUUAGUCCUGGUUGGAUUCCAACCGGGACUAAAGGGUAACCCUUUACUCCCGGUUGCUUUUACCAACCGGGACUAAAGGGUCUGUCCCGCGCCUGGCGUGGCAAGCCCUUUAGUCCCGGUGGUGACACCAACCGGGACUAAAGGGUGACCUUUACUCCCGGUUGAAAGACCCGGGACUAAAGACCCCCCCUUUUGUCCCGGUUGGUUUAUCCCGGAUGGAUUUUCGGGAGAUAUGCACCCUACCAACCGGGACUAAAGGUCAAUUCUCUAUUAGUGAACUCAAGAACUGCAAGAGAGCCAUACCUCCUACACAUGCAGGAGGAAAGGUGAUCAUAUUGGAUAUAUAUGGUGGUUAGAGACACAAGUCUUAUUCGGUCUCUUCAUCAUGUUUGUCAAUGGCGUUGAGCGUGACGAGCAGGAAUGGAAGAAGAUUAUCUUCCAAGCUGGAUUUAGUGAUUACAAGAUCACACCAGUCUUGGGUGUUCACUCUAUCAUCGAGGUCUGUCCAUAAAGAGUUGGGUCGCUUGUGUAGUUGCGUUAAUAAACGGUACAUAUAGUGUACCUGUUGGAAUGUUAAGCUUUUUCUAAAGCGUGUCUUUGCUCUCUACGUAUGCUUCCAAAGCGCUUCUAAUCGAAUCAAUGUUUUUUAGCGUGUUAGAGCGUACUGUUGCGUUCUUUCAAUUCCUUACCCGAGCACAUUUUAAGAAACAAAUUCCGUGCGCAAGCCCAACAUCACCCAACUUGGAGCCCAUUUUAAGAAACAAAUUCAGUGCCCAAGCCCAACAAAAUUCUGUACCCGAGGUUUGUAGUGUUCUUUUUUCCUUCACUGGGGUCCUAUUUGGUAUCUUCAUUAUGUUGUUUGUGAACGGCUUAGAGUAGACUAGCGAGUGAAAUUAAUGAGGUCACUUUUGAAGCUUCAUUUAGUGAGCCAGCUUAUAAGCACGGAUCACUCUUCGAUGUAGGCAAGAGACAACAACAUCUUACAAACACUCUCUCUAGAUCUAAACUAGCAGUAAUUACUCAUUAAUCAUGUACCAAUUGUUUGGUAGCUUUGAUGUCUUCUCAAAAGUUGGGACUUGGGGUGUUAUAUAUAGGCAUUUGUAGAUUGCAAUCUUGGUUGAUGAUAUCUUUACCUCUUUUCUUUUUGAGGGGUGAUGAUAUCUUUACAGCAACAACAAUUUUGAUAGACCAUCCAAUCAUCCUUCAACUAAGUCAUCAAAAAGUGUGUUAACACAGGAAUACGCCGUCACACGAGCACGUCAUGUAUAAUCCACAAAGACACCUCAUAAUGUCUAAGUGGAAAACCGGAUGGUCUAGUUUUAGAAACCAGAUGCUCUUGUAUUCUAGAGUUUCACCGAGAAAAGAACACUCGCGUGAGAGGUGAUAAUUAUCACGCUUUUAUAGUGAAGCAACACUUAGUUUACCAGCAAACUAGCAAAAUGCAGCUAUCGUACUUACUUGUCGACGAACAACUAGAUAGCUUCUUAGCAAACGAGCAAAAGCCAUCAAAGCUUUCGCAAGGGAGGGACCCGCCACGGUGUGUGCUUCACCGAUUUGGCCUAGUUCAGCUGGCACGCCUAGGGUACAACCUUUGUUGGUCAAGAUCUGGAAACUAACAAGUGGGGAUAAUGGAAAAGGACGAAGGAAUAAAAUGAUUAAUAAUAGUUGAUUGAUUUGUUUGCCUGUAUCUUAAUUGGUUUUUAUUUUUAUAUUUACAUGGUGGAAAGAUCUAUUCCCAUAAGAAUCGAAACCAUAAAACAAAAAUGUCAAAAACUUACAUAAAACAUAUUUACAACUCCUAAUUCGGACUCGGAUACUCCGUAUUAAACUAGAUGGCGUGGUAAUUAAAACAGAGCAAGCUUCGUAUGAGAGGAGAUCCGGUGCUCCAGCUGCUUCGGGUGCUCACGUGCACCCGAGCAGUUGCAUCCGUUGGAUGCUCAACGGAUGCUGCACCAGAUGCACACACUUUUUGGACAGCGGGUUCAAUUUGUGAAAAGUGGAAAAUGAGUUUCUGAUACUCGGAUUCAAUGAAGAGUGGUGCAUCUAGUGCGUCUGUUAUGCAUCCAAUGGAUGCAACUGCUCUGGUGCACGGGAGCACCCGAAGCAGCUGAAGCACCACGUCUCCUCUCAGCUUCGUAUUUCAGCUUGUGAACAUCUUCAUAUCACUACCGGUGCCAAUCACUUCAUCCUGAUGGAAGUCUAAUUCCUGGCAUACGAGUAUAAGAAACUCUCAAAUACAAUGUUACAAAAGUGAUACUCUCUGUGUCCAGAAAUAUAAACAUUUGUUAAUCUCUCAUAAGUCAAACUUCUUAAUUUUGAUUAUUAAUAACAAAAAUUCGUAAAGAUUACUAACAUAUAAAUGAUGUUUCUAUAUUUAUCAUGAAACAAGUUAUCAUAAUAUGUAACUCAUUGUAUUUAAAAUAAUUUAUUUUUAUUAUAGAUAUUAUUGGUCAAAAUAGUAUAUUGAAGAUCAUGCCUAUGUCCUAAAAUGCUUAUAUUUGUGAACGGAGGGAGCAGAUUUCAUUAGCGAUAAUCCAUUGUUAGUUAAAUAGAUACUAAAUACUCAAUGUAACUUAGAUCGUUUUAGUUUCUUUAAAACCUAUAUAUACUAAAAAAAGAAAGCAAACCAACCUAGGCCCUGCUGCCACCCAUCAGGGUGCAAGGGGUAUCAGUGUAUCACAACUUGAUUCUUGUCUGCAUGAGCAGUAGAGCACCUGUGGCGCGGGUCCGCCGGCCGCACAGUAAGCACUGACGACGCGUGGUCGCUAGAGGAACAGUCCUGCGGAGCCGUUUAACAUGUGCAAUGAGUUAAACCAAUACAGCACAGCACGAUGGCAAUCACCACAAGCACCAACAAGGCCUUGCUGGAUGCUCAGGUCGAGCUCUGGCACACCACCUUCGCUUACAUCAAGUCCAUGGCGCUCAAGUCCGCGCUGGACCUUGGCAUCGCCGACGCCAUCCACGGGAACGACGGCACCGCCACCUUGCCCCAGAUAGUUUCCAGGGUCACGCUCCACUCGUCCAAGAUCCCCUGCCCUGCGCCGCCUCAUGCGGGUACUCACAGCCACCGGCAUCUUCUUCAGCGUCCAACACCCGGACGCCAAUGGCAGCAGCGAGCUCAUGUGCUCACACCGGCAUCUCAACUGCUGGUUGGCACCCCGAGCCUGACUCCAUUUAUGGCACUGGUGCUCGAUGGGAUUUAUGUGUCCCCUUUCCUUGGCCUCGGCACAUGGUGACAACACGAGCAUUCAGAUCCGUCUCUCUUCGAGAUGACGCAUGAGCAGACUGCGUGGGACUUGAACGACCGCAACCCGACUUGUUGGGGAUCACCAAAAUUAUAAACACCCUCUCGGGUGCCGUUCACUACGGGAAAGCUAGAAAUUGCCGAGUGUAUUUUUUUUGCCGAGUGUUUUUUUUCAAGCACUCGGCAAACAAGCUCUUCGCCGAGUGCCAAGCCAAAAACACUCAGCAAAUAAAAACACUCGGCAAAUUGGAGCUUUGCCGAGUGUCAAAUAGAAAACACUCGGCAAACCACCCUCUUUGCCGAGUGUCAAAAAAAACACUCGGCGCAGAGGGGGGUUUGCCGAGUGUUUUCUAUUUGACACUCGGCAAAGCUCCAAUUUUGCCGAGUGUUUUUAUUUGCUGAGUGNNNNNNNNNNNNNNNNNNNNNNNNNNNNNNNNNNNNNNNNNNNNNNNNNNNNNNNNNNNNNNNNNNNNNNNNNNNNNNNNNNNNNNNNNNNNNNNNNNNNUUUUUCUACUCCCCACAUACAACAUGUGUACUCAUGUAAAAUUGUAUAUUUUUGGAUUUAUUUGCUAUAUUUAUUUAAUUAAUUGCAUUUCAAGGAAAUUUUUGGUAUAAGUCAAAUUGAACUGCAAGUGAUUCAAAUUAUGGAACAAAAUGAGUAGAAAAAUGAUAUUCAUGUUAUUUGGCCCAAUUUGAGACCUAACCCAUGAAAUGAAAAGAAAUUUCGAACAUCUUGUUCAAGAAACACGACCAUAAACGUGUGGCAGUAGUAUUUUUAACUUGUAAAAAAAACAAGCAAAGUCUGAAAAUCAUGAGAUUUGUCAUGAUGUGAUGAUAUAAUACGUGGAGGCUGUGAAAAAAAUUGAGAAGGUUUUGCACAUUUCAUCAUGUACAAUGAUUACAAAUCGAAGCAUCUAAGAAGAAGAAUAGUAACUUUGAGAGGAUUCGAUAAGAUUUAGAGUCGAAGUGACGGUCGAGUUUGGUUUGACUACAAAACUUUUUGUAUAGUCAAUAGAGAACAUAUAUUGGUGUUGACGCCAGAUUUCGACAUGAGUGAAAUUGGCGUUAGGAGAGGGAGAAAUUAGAAGAUGCGGCGAGAUGCAAGGGCGACGAUUGGAAAUCGACCGAUUGGUGCUACAGUCAAGGAUCGGUUGGUUGGUGCUACAGUUGAGGAUCGGCCGAUUGAUGCUACAGUCAAGGAUUGGCCGAUUGACCCUUGGAGUUCUGUGUCGCCCGACCUUAGUUUCCAGGAUCGGAAUAGUCUGAGCCCCCCGACGUGUGGGUCCUAAUCGGUUGUCCCUUGCCGAUGAGAUGGUCGGCCGAUUAGGAGGCUGGAAUAGUUGGGCCGGUGUGGGCCUAAAAAGGAUUAUGAAGAUGAAGAAGGAACCGGCCCAUGAAGCGCGUGAUAAUCGACCUAGUACGGAUCGUACUUGUAAAUAUUCAUUUUCUGUUUAAGUUUAGGGAUAGAGUUCUAGUCCGAUAAGAAGUCGUUUGUACGGGGCUAUAAAUAGCCACCCUUGUAGAUCUGUAAUCAUCAUCAACUCAAUACAACAAACUACUAUUUCCUCGUACUUACCUUCAAGCAGGCGACUUCGCCAACACUUUUCUUCUUUUUUCACGAGUUCGUACGGGUUGGCGGGGCUGCAUCAACUUGAUCUCCGGCCGAUCUUGUAAGUUCCGCUCAUCGAGUAAAUUCUAGCUUUAACUUCGGGCGCAUCGCUGUUGUUUCGUUUAGAUUUAUUCAUCAGUUAUCGAUAUUCACUAGAAUUCUAGGUUUUACCUAUUGUUCUAGUUUUAUCACUAGUUAUCCAGCUAGGAAUCGGCAAUUUCGGCUUUUCUUGUACUUCGUUGUUUAAUCUAUUUAUUUUACGCAUAGCCGAUUAGAUCUGUUCCUAGUGUUGCUACUGUAGUGUUGUUUAGAUUACUCUAGCAGUCUUCUUCAUUAACGUUGCCCGGUAAUCGGCUGCAUCAUAGCCGAUUUCUUUAUUACGGCAAAUCGGUCGAUUCGCUGAUAAGCUUUCUCGAGAUCGGAACCUUAGCCGAUCGCAACCUCUGGGAACUGACACGUCUUUUUCCUUGCCAAUCAACAGGUCAGAUUGGCUGGCACGCCGCGCGAACCGCACCAGGGUGAUCACCCGAAUAGGAGUUAAGCAGAUUCUCCCGGGUCGUGUGUCCGACGCUGGGGAUUCGGUCAGCCGAUUUCUAGCGCCAACACACUUUUGGCACGCCCGGUGGGACAAAUACAACCGCCACUAUGUCGAAAGCUGCUGAAGUCUCCGAAGAUAACGUCAUCGAAGUGACGGAAGCAGACCUUAGGGACGACCAGAGGGAAGAAUUAGAGAAGCAGACGGCAUACUAACGGAAGACAUGUAUGCAAUCCUUCAGUCGCACCAGGAGCGGGAAAACUGUCAAAAAGACUCCGUUUCCAACUUCCCGCCAGAUCACAAUCACCGAGGACUCGGACAAGAUGUCCGAGAUGGUUCAACAAUCAGUUUAUCAAGCCUUCAUCGAUCGAUCCCCGGUGAUUUCUAAUACGGUAUACAAUGCCGUCAUCAGCUCCUUAGCUAGCGGUGUAUCUCAAGGGUACCAGGGGGCCGGCAUAUGCUCCGCCAAUUACUGCUCCGAACAAGAGUUAUCCAAAUACACCUUAUUCGGCUUCUCAGCCGAUCCAAAUUCCAACUGGGGGUUCUGGCGCUUCCUCAUCAUCGAUCCCUAUGGGGUUUAAUGGCACACAAUACCUCCAGCCACGUCCCAUUCAGUUGUCCUCCGCGCAGUUUCCUCCGUUAAAUCCAGCGCCUUGGGGGGCACCAUCAGUGACGGCCGCCCCAGAUCAACCGACCAACCAUGGAAGUCCUCAACUCCAGGCAUCUUUCCAGGCGGCCACUAGGCCACUCAUGCCGCAGUAUCAGCCUGUCACACCGGAGAUGAGCAGAGCGGCAGAAUCAACGAAAGUACUUCGGGGUGUUGCGCCACUCAUACUAUAUGACGAAGCGGGGGGCUCGUUCAAACAGCCGAUCCUGACUACGCAGCCGGGCUAUGACACAUCAGACGCCGCACGCACUCAUCAUCAAGUCAUCCCACCGCCAAUAUACUAGCACGUACCAGUUCCCCAGCCGACGGUACAGCAGCAACAGCCGGACUGGUCGGCGCGCAUAGCAGAGGUGAUUCAAGAGCAAUUCGGCUUAAAGCCGAAGGUACAGACCUACACAUACAGGACACCGUACCCGCCUACAUACGACUCACUGCCGUUUCCCCAUCGGUAUAAAGUUCCUGAUUUCACCAAGUUUUCGGGACUGGAUGACACCUCAACCGUGGAACACGUGAAUAGAUUCAUCAUCCAAUGCGGGGAAGCAGCGGCGCAAGAUGCUCUACGGGUGCGCCUUUUCUCGUCAUCCCUGUCUGGGUCAGCCUUUCAGUGGUUCACUACAUUGCCGCCCAACUCGAUAAUUACGUGGGCUGACCUGGAAAGGCAGUUUCACAAGUAUUUUUACGCCGGGGUACAUGAGAUGAAGCUGUCCAAUUUGACCAGCCUCAGGCAGAGAAGCGACGAGCCGAUAUCCUCAGAUGUACAGAGGUUCAGGGAAAUCAGAAAUAAGUGCUACUCCCUGGCCCUGACUGAUGCACAGUUGGCCGAUAUAGCCUUCCAAGGUCUCCUACCUCACAUCAAAGAAAAAUACGCCUCACAGGAGUUUGAGAGCUUGAGCCAAAUCGUCCACCGAUUGUCUGGUCAAGAAGUACGUCCUUUCGAUCCACGGAGGAACUUCCAGAAGAAGGUGGCAUACUUAGAAGAGGUUGAAACCGAAGAGGACACAAAAAUCGGCCUUGCGGAAUGGGUUAAAGGGAAGAAGCCGAUAUCAUGUCCGUUCGGGAAGGAGCCGGAAACGUUCGGAUUUGACACAUCAAAGGCCGAUAAAAUCUUCGACCUCCUCCUCCAGGAAGGACAGAUCAAACUCUCGCCAUACCAUACGAUUCCUUCUGCCGAACAGCUGAAGAAGAUGAAAUAUUGCAAGUGGCACAACGCUACCUCCCAUGAUAUGAAUGAAUGCAAAAUCUUCCGGCAGCAGAUACAGUCGGCCAUUGAGCAGGGCAGACUUAAAUUUGAAGUACCAACAAAACCAACCAAGCCGAUGAAGAUCGACCAGCACCCCUUCCCCACUAACAUGGUUGACACGGGAAAGAAUUCGCUCCAAACCAAGGUGCUGACAUCCGAAUCGGCUAAAAAGAGCGGCGCCGUAGACCCCAGAAAUCAAGAGGCGCCUGAAGACGUCAAGGGGAAACAGCGGAUGGAUGACGAUGACGACGGAUCAAGAGAACCACGCAGACCCAUUACUUCCCAAUUCCUGCUCAACAAAUAUCAACGGCAACAUGAACGUUCAAGGUCCCGGGAAGAGGCGAUGCGGAGACAUGAAGAUCACUGGCGGUGCUCGUUCUUCAUCCACUGCUGGGAAAGCAACCUCAGGUUGCCAUCGGUCGAUAAUUGUCCUGAAUGCAACGGUCCGUAUCGUCACAAUCGGCCAUUCAGAAGGUCUCGCUCCAGAGAUGGGAAAUCAGAGCCGAUCAGCAGGAACUGGCGCGACCAAGAAGACUGGCGCCUUCCAGUACGUGAUCGGCUGGGGGGCAGAAGUGACCGAUAUGACCGGUCGGAAGACAGGCGCGAGCGAAAUGAUAGGCCGGGGGGCAGAUUUGAUCGACAUGACCGGCCAGAAAACAAGGUUGGCAUUCACGACCGACUCGAAGAGAUGGCCGAUGCUCGGGUGUCAGACGAGAACCCUUUAGGACGCGAACCAGAAUGGGAAUGCGCCAGGCCACGAACCAAACCAGUGAACCCUAGGUGGUGCCCCGAUGGAUUGACCAAGUCUCAAAAACGAAGAAUCCAACGUCUCCGCCAGUGGGAACAGCAGGAGGAAGAGCAACAGUACACGAUGGACGAAAAGUAAGGCAGGUCUCAGGUAUGGCGCCCCAAAAGAAACGACAGAAGAGGCGACGAAUCGGCAGCCGAUAUUGGCAUGGUUUUCAUACUGCCGAUGGAAUUCAUGACUCCUGCCGACCGACAGAACAUGUUAGCAAUAGAAGAGCAGAUGGCACAAUUGGCUUUGGAGCCAAUGACAGCCACAUUCGAGAAGCCCGAAGACGACAAACGACAACACCUGAAGGCGUUAUUCCUUAAAGGGCACGUCAACGGCCGACCCAUCACCAGAUUGCUAGUAGACAGAGGAGCUGCGGUUAACAUUAUGCCAUACGCCAUGUUCCGGAAGCUAGGGAAGAGCGAUGACGACCUGACUAGGACGGAUAUGAUGCUCAAGGACUUCGAAGGCAACGUAUCCCCCGCCCGCGGCGCUCUCUGCGUCGACCUCACCAUCGGCAGUAAGACCCUUCCUACUACUUUCUUUAUCAUUAAUGGCAAGGGAUCCUACAACAUGCUACUCGGUCGAGACUGGAUACAUGCAAAUUGCCGUAUCCUAUCCACAAUGCAUCAAUGCCUCGUGCAAUGGGUCGGCGACAACAUCGAGGUGGUCACCGCCGAUUCCGCAUACAACAUCGCGGCAGCCGACAUGCAGCGGUGGAGCUGCGAAACCGUCAGAUGCAUAUCCGGGAGAAUAUGGGACACUGACUUCUUGAAGGUGUCCGAUUUUGGCCUACAGCCAAUCCGAGCAGUCGGCUCCGAAGACUCAGACUAAAUGGAUCAGUUCGCCCGAGAAGAUGGGAAGCUAGGACACGGGUUCAUGUCGGCCGAUUCAUUAGAAAUGAUAGACUUAGGUGAUGGCACCAAACCAAGGCCGACAUAUAUUAGUGCAAAUUUGGAUCCGGAAUACAAAUGUAAAUUGACAAAUUUAUUGAGAGAAUUUAAGGAUUGCUUUGCUUGGGAAUACCAUGAGAUGCCCGGAUUAGACCGAUCCAUUGUUGAGCAUCGGUUACCCAUAAAGCCGGGGUAUCAGCCGUAUCAACAGCCUGCACGGCGGUGUAAUCCUAAAAUCCUACCAGACAUAAAGGCCGAAAUAACGCGGCUAAUCGAAGCAAAAUUUAUUCGGCAAUGCCGUUAUGCCGAAUGGAUCUCCAACAUUGUAUCAGUAUACAAGAAGAACGGAAAGCUACGCGUAUGCGUUGAUUUCAGGAACCUCAAUCAGGCCACACCAAUGGAUGGAUACCCCAUGCCGACGGCCGAUGUGCUGAUAGAUGCUGCCGCAGGGCACAAGGUUAUUAGUUUCAUGGAUGGAAACGCUGGGUACAAUCAGAUACUAAUGGCCGAAGAGGACAUAUCCAAAACGGCCUUCAGAUGCCCGGGUCACCUUGGUUUAUUCGAGUGGGUGGUAAUGACUUUCGGCUUGAAAAACGCCGGCGCUACGUAUCAGAGAGCCAUGAAUUACAUAUUUCACAAACUUAUCGGCAUACUAGUGGAAAUCUACAUCGAUGACGUCGAAGUCAAAUCAAAAGGACACCAGGAGCAUCUGGCCGAUUUACGACAGGUAUUGGAAUGCACUAAGAAACAUGGGCUGAAGAUGAACCCGAAUAAGUGUGCCUUCGGCGUAUCCGCCGGACAGUUCUUAGGAUUCAUGGUGCAUGAGCGGGGGAUAGAAAUCAAUCGGAAGACCAUAGCGGCCAUCAAUAAAGUCGUGGCCCCGCAGAAUAAAACUGAAUUACAGUCUCUAAUUGGCAAGGUGAAUUUCAUCAGAAGGUUCAUAUCUAAUCUGUCUGGGCAAAUCCAAGCCUUCACACCAUUAUUAAAGUUGAAGCCCGACCAGGAGUUCAUAUGGGGGGAAGAGCAACGCAAGGCAUUGGAAGAUAUCAAGCAGUACUUGGUCUUAUCGUCGGUAUUGGUCCCACCUCAAACUGGUAAGCCGUUUAAACUAUAUUUAUCAGCCGAUGAACGAGCUAUCGGGUCAGCUUUGGUCCAGGAGUUCGAGGGAAAGGAACGGGUAAUUUAUUAUGUCAGUAGAAGACUUCUAGAUGCCAAAACAAGGUAUCCUCCAGUAGAGCGGUUGUGCUUAUGCCUUUACUUCUCAUGCACCAAACUCAGGCACUAUUUGCUAUCAGCGGAAUGUGUGGUCGUAUGCAAGGACGACGUGGUAAAAUACAUGCUGUCAUUGCCGAUUUUGAAAGGACGAAUCGGAAAAUGGAUCUUGGCUUUGUCGGAGUUUGACCUUCGGUAUGAAUCGGCAAAAGCCGUUAAGGGUCAGGUCAUGGCCGAUUUCGUUGCCCAGCACUACGGACCAGAGGCUACCUUCGUAGAACCAGUACCUUGGACCUUAUACUUUGAUGGAUCGUCAUGUGGGGCCGGAUCAGGAAUCAGCAUCGUCCUCAUAUCGCCUCGGGGGGCAAGUUAUGAUUUCUCUCUACCGAUAGAAGCAUCCGCCACUAACAAUCAAGCAGAGUACCGAGCUGUACCGAAGGGGUUACAAUUAUUAAGGGAAGUCAAGGCUGAUUCUGCCGAAAUUUUUGGGGAUUCCAUGCUUAUCGUGGAUCAAUUAAAAGGGAGGUCCAAGUGCAAGGAUGAUGUGUUGAGGAUUUAUUACGAAGAUUGCUUGCAGCUUCUGAAAGAAUUCAAGUCUGCAGUUAUUGAGCACAUCCCAAGGAAUCACAACGAGGAUGCCAACAAGCUCGCCCAACACGCAUCUGGGUAUCGGCCGAUUCAAGGUGCUAUGGCUCUAGAACUCGCGGCCAACGACUGGUGAAAGGAGAUUGCCGAUUGCCUCAAAGAUCCAUCUAAGAAAGUGGAUCGGCGGGUACGUUUUCAUGCUACCAAAUAUGUGUUACUGGAAGACGACUUGUUCUACCGAACAAUCGAUGGCGUCCUACUCAAGUGUCUAGGAACGGAGGAGGCUAGGACUCUGAUGGGAGAGAUCCACGAAGGAGUGUGUGGAGCCCACCAGUUGGCACAUAAGAUGAAAUGGAUGAUUAGGAAUAAUGGGUAUUACUGGCCAACGAUCCUCGAAGAUUGCUUCAAAUAUUAUAAAGGAUGCCAGGAUUGUCAGAAAUACGGGAAUGUCCAACGUGCGCCCGCAUCGGCCAUGAAUCCCAUUAUCAAACCAUGGCCGUUCAGAGGUUGGGGAAUUGACCUCAUCGGCCAAAUCUAUCCUCCGUCAAGCAAAGGGCACAAGUUCAUUCUGGUAGCCACUGAUUACUUCACCAAAUGGGUGGAGGCGAUUCCGUUGAAGGCCGUAACAUCGGCUGUUAUGGUUGACUUUGUAAGGGACCAUAUCGUCUACCGUUUUGGCAUUCCCCAGACUAUCACGACCGAUCAAGGGACGAUGUUUACAUCAGGAGAAUUCGAGGAGUUCACGGCCGACAUGGGAAUCAAAUUAUUAAAUUCCUCUCUGUAUUAUGCCCAAGCUAAUGGCCAGGCCGAAUCUUCCAACAAAGGGAUAAUUAAGUUAAUCAAGAGGAAGAUAGAGGAACAGCCGAAAAAAUGGCAUUUAUGUCUGACUGAAGCCCUAUGGGCAUACAGGAUGGCUUGCCAUGGGGCCACCAAGAUGUCCCCUUAUCAGUUGGUGUACGGUCACGAGGCGGUACUACCAUGGGAAUUGAGGGCAGGGUCGAGACGCAUUUCGCUCCAGGAUCAGUUGGCGGCCGACGACUACUCCUCACUCAUGAAAAGGGAACUUGAUGACUUAGCUGGCCAACGAUUGAGAGCUUUGAUAAGUAUCGAAGAAAACAAGAAUAAAGUGGCCAGGUGGUACGAUAAGAAGGUCAAAAUCAAACAAUUCUCUCCGGGGGACCUGGUAUGGAAGUUAGUGUUGCCAAUCGGGUCGAAAGAUCCUAAAUUCGGUAAGUGGUCCCCUACGUGGGAAGGGCCAUAUAAAAUCGGCAGACGUGCUCCAGGAAACGCUUAUAUUCUGGAAACGAUCGAAGGAGAAGAGUUUACUAGGGCUCUGAACGAAAGAUACUUGAAAAGGUACUACCCUAGUAUAUGGGUCGGAGCAUAAGGAUCAACCAUGAUGAACAAGCACACAGCCGAUACAAAAGGAAUCGUCUAGAGAAAAAACAUAAUCGUCCAAAUCGGCCGAUAUAUUCGGUACGGAUGAUGGGUUACACGACCGACACGGUACAGGUCGCCCUUAGAACAAAAAAUAAUUAAUCAUGCUUUUUCUUAAGCUCUCUCUCAGCCCGACCUAGUUCUAUCAGAAGACGGAUGUACUAUUCUUCUAUCUCUUUCAUCGCAGCCUCCGCCUCGACUUGACGGGGGAGAGGGUGACUCCGGUCCAUCGCCGGGCGUAAUGUUCCUGCUGCUGCAUCUUCAAGGACGAUUUGACGAGGAAGCGCAUGACUUCUGUCAGCUUGAGGUCGCCGGUGGUCGUUGCCGUCCAGAAAGUCCCAGAUCCGUCGGAUGUCAGCAGGGACGUGCUCUUGGAGUUCGUCGCGAUGAGCCCUGAUUAAAUCCUUGUCUUCUUGCGACAACGGUUCGUCGGAGUGCACGAGUCCGAUGGCUCGUUCGAGUUCAGGGCUACGGCGCCGCGGCUGCAGAAAGCAACAAUAUACAUAUAGCCGCCGAAAAUGUGAUUCCCUUCAGAAGAGUUAAACUAAGAAAGGGAAUGAGGGCAAAUCUUUUACCUGAUUAACAGAGGAAGAGGUAGAGGAUGAAGAAGACAUGACUGAAAAGCGCGCCGACGAAAACAAGUUGGGGAAGAUGAAGCCGAGCUAGACAGGUACUCUCAGAACGGGGACCUAGGCCGGCGUUUAUAAGAAAGGAAGGCGUGGAUGUUUGGUAAGACGCGUCCCAUCAGAAGUAAAAAAGGUAAUAAAUAAGGGGGCGCCGUGAAGGACGGUCAAAGGGGUUAUUUAUGUUCGUACAAGAAUUGCCAGUACUUUUACAGGUCACCCAGAAGGGCGUUGAUAGCUGCGAUCGCUCGGCGCCGAAUCUGAUCGGCAGAGUCCAGGACCCGUUGGUCAUCCUCUACCGAUCCGGGGACUUCUGACAUAUGGCGGUAGAGUUUGAGGGCUUCGUGAGCCAGGUGCUGCCUCUCCCGUUUCAGAUCGGCGAUGAUGGAUGGAAGUUCCUGAAGCCUCUUCUCUUCGGCGUCUAUUGCUUUGGUCACCUACUCCAUCUCCUUGGCAAGCUCUGCCCUUCGGCGCUUGAGGCGAUCUAUCAGGCCGACGAUCCCUAGGCGAGAGUCUUCCAGAAAGUGAAUCCGUUGAUGCACCUCUUGAGCUUGACGCUUGUACGUGUCUUCUUCUUCACGAGUCUUGGUCAACUUGGCGCGAUCGGCCAUGUGGCGCAGGGCCCUAAAGAUCGGAAUCCUCAUUGACUCGAUAUACGCGGCCGGCGCCAAGGCCUCUUCCGCUUCUUCUGGUACUCGCCCACUGAUGUCACCAAAAAGUUGCCGAAUCGGCGAGGCAUCUUCUACCAAUCGGCCGAUGUCCUCUUGAAGAAGGGAUCGGAUGCUUGCAAGUUUGGCACGAAUGUCAUCGGGGAUGGAGCUCAAAGUAACCUGACGAGAGGCGACUUCCUCGUCAUCGGAGAGUGCGACCGCAAACGAGAAAAGACUGUUGUUGGGGGUGUCCUGUUCCUGGAAAAUAGUAAGUCAAGAAGAAAAACAAAUCAGCCGAUGGUGAUAGCAAAUCGGCCGAGUAAGGGUGGGAAGUCUCUUACCUCCUUGAAACGGAUUUCUUCAAACUGCGUUUGAGAGGCCGUUAUCCUCGAUUCAGGGGCUGGUACCAUUGGUUCGUCAGAAGAAGAAGACUCCACAAUGAUUGGUGCUUUGCUCGGGCUAGCUUCCCGAAAGAUGACCAUUGAUUGAUUAGGUGGGGUGCUUAGCGUACCAGUGACCUGUGUCAAAAGAUUGAAUAAGAACAUCAUCCAAAUACUAGGAGAAUCGGUUGAAGAGUAGUAUACCUCGGUAGAUGGAAGCGUGGGCGUGUCGAUGACCGAUUGGGUUGCUGCCGAUUGUUGUGGGUCCACAGAAGUGAUUUGUGCAGUCUAAAACAAGAUGAGUCAGUAUAGAGAUGGCAAUCGGUAGGAUCAAACAAGUUUACCUGCAUGGCCUCCACCAGUAAUGAUGCAGUGGCCGCCCCAGCUUGCGUGACGACUUGAGUAUCUACUUCUCCAGCGGCUGGAAGGGACAAUGCGACCGAAGUUUCUGCCGAUGUGAUCAUAGGAGGGUCAGCCGAUUCUAUACGAGCUCGUACUCGGCGACUGGUCUUCUUCGUGACUUUCUUCUGCGCCUGCUUCGAUCGGCCGGCGAUCACAUCCACGGAAGGGGCAUUGUAGCCGAUAAGGGGGAAGAUGGUGUAUGGAUGAUGGUCCUCUAUCGACCGGCCACUCCGGCUGCGUGUUGGGGGAAUGUGGUUUUCAGACUGAAACAACAGCGAGAUGUUAGUGUACGCAUUUAACCACAUUAAUGAAGGAAUGAAAAUCGGCUAGGGAAAAAUACCUCGACAUUUGGGUCGAUGUUGGCUGGAUCCAGGAGAUUGCAGUAUGUCGAUGCGGAGGUGCAGAACAGGUACUGCUUCCAUUCGGCCCACCACAACUUGAAUGGUUGGACAGCAAAGGGGGCUACUAUCCAGUCAUUCAGGUCUAUGGUACUGGAGUCUGGUAUCCGAUCUCGCAGCCGACUAUAGUCAAGACCCUUGGUGAGCUCAUCUCUAAACUUUGCUCGGCCGGCGAAGUAUGCCUGAAUUGGCAGUUGACCCAUGCCGAAUUGCCGUGCUGCAGCGGAGGGAUUGUAGAACUCAUACGUAGGAGCAUCUUUCCCUGAGAAGAAGUUGGCCGGUAAGAUUCCCGGUUUAAUUAGUUCAUCUAUGAGAUCUUCGUCGAAUCGGCCGGUAGUCGAGUCGAAGCAAGAAGGGAGCUCAAAGAUUGGGUCAUCUCUCUGAUAAGGGAACCAGACGGUUGCAUCUUCAUUAAAACCGUUAUAAAAACACCGGAAGUACUCGGCCACCUUGGUAGUAGAGUACGAGCAACCAGAGAAGGCCGAUGCCGCUUCGCCGAAAGAUGUACACCGGCGUCGGACAGUGGGAUUCUCUGCCGAUUCGACGCUGGGGAACGUCAUGUGUUCUACUCACUGCUGAGAAAUCUUGCUCAUGUACAGGUUCAGCCAUAAGUUAAUAAACCACCAGGGUCCACCUGGGUUUCCAAUCGGCUCCCCUCGGGAUAGCUUGAUGCCGAUUUGGUGAAGCAUGUGGUAGGCUGCUCCCAGUAAGUGCUUUCCAAGAGGAACAGAAGUCCCUAUCGAUAAUGCUUCGGCCAGAGCUUGGGUAUUGGUAGAUGGACCAGCUGCUCUCCCACAGAAGAAAUGCUUCUCUAGCCACAUCAUCAGGAAGGCCGUGUGCUCUCUGUUCUCGACAGAUCUGGCCCUUUUGUUGCAUCUGAUGAAACCUUUCCACCCGCUGAUUCCCCUUGUGUCCAGCCGAUGGGAUGUUGUGGCUAUAAGGCAGAAAGGGGUGUCCGAGGAAGAAAUGUCCAUGCCGGUCAGUAAGACUACAUCGGCCAGUGUGGGGGUCAUGGGUCCGUGCCCAAACAGGAAUGCAUUGAGAGCAUCAGACCAGAAGUAAGAAGCUGCCAUCACUAAUGGCUCAUUCCGUUCCAUUUGGGACAGGGAUAGAUCGAUGCAUUGGCUGAUUUUGAGCUCGUCCCAUUGGACUUUCUUAGAGGCGGCUAUCCGCUGGUACCAUUCUCUCCAGCCGAGAGUUUCAUUCGGCCAAGACCUAAAGGUACCUAACCAAUCAUCUAGGUCCAUAGUUGAUUGUUUGAAGGGAAUCCUAUGGGUUUCCAAAUUGAUUAAGUCGGUUGGAUCUGGGUUUCCCAUGGGUCCGAGGCAGAUAAGGCUGGGGUUUUCUAUGAGACGAAUGGUGAUGUGAUGCCUAACCGCCUAAAAAGGAAAAGGGGGUGCGAGGGUAAGAAAUAGAUCUAAAGUAAAUGCAUUACUGAUAAGGGAAAGUUUCGGUAAUGACCUCCGGGAUGAAGCUCCUCGUAAUCGGCGGAAUCACCGGUGCAGCUGCAGACGAUGAAGCUGCCAAUGGGAUCUCGGAUGAAGCUUCAACUUUCGCCGAUGGAGCUCCUUCUUCCGUCGAUGGAGCCGCCGCUGUCGCUACUGGAACCUCUGCCGAAGGCACCAUUUCUGGAGCUUCGCGCGUUGGUGAGGUGCCUGAAGGUGCCGCCAUUGGAGAAGUAGGAGGGAAUGCGAAAGGAAGGAGGCGCUGGAGAAUUGGAGGACUAAGGAAAGUGUUGGAGGGAGAAAAAAGCCUGUGCGCUGAGGAAGAAGGACGUGAGCUCGUAAUGGAAGUACGGGAUGUGCUAAUAUUUAAAGGAGGUCUAAGAAGGGGUAAAAGUGGAAUUUUUACCGCGCUGGCGUUUCGAGUUUUUCGGGAGUAGUGGUUGUCGUGGGUGCUCGUUUCAAAAAGAUUGCAAUCAUCAGGUUGGAGACCGCGAAACGGAAAGAUAUUUUCAUUACGUCUGUUUUGGAAAGGAAGUUGAAAAGAAUUUCGAAGUAAAGACUAUGUUUUACUCCGAAACUGGGGGGCAUGUGUUGACGCCAGAUUUCGACACGAGUGAAAUCGGCGUUAGGAGAGGGAGAAAUUAGAAGAUGCGGCGAGAUGCAAGGGCGACGAUUGGAAAUCGACUGAUUGGUGCUACAAUCAAGGAUCGGUUGGUUGGUGCUACAGUUGAGGAUCGGCCGAUUGAUGCUACAGUCAAAGAUCGGCCGAUUGACCCUUGGAGUUCCGUCUCGCCCGACCUUAGUUUCCAGGAUCGGAAUAGUCUGAGCCCCCCGACGUGUGGGUCCUAAUCGGUUGUCCUUUGCCGAUGAGAUGGUCGGCCGAUUAGGAGGCUGGAAUAGUUGGGCCGGUGUGGGCCUAAAAAGGAUUAUGAAGAUGAAGAAGGAAUCGGCCCAUGAAGCGCGUGAUAAUCGACCUAGUACGGAUCGUACUUGUAAAUAUUCGUUUUCUGUUUAAGUUUAGGGAUAGAGUUCUAGUCGGAUAAGAAGUCGUUUGUACGGGGCUAUAAAUAGCCACCCUUGUAGAUCUGUAAUCAUCAUCAACUCAAUACAACAAACUACUAUUUCCUCGUACUUACCUUCAAGCAGGCGACUUCGCCAACACUUUUCUUCUUUUUUCACGAGUUCGUACGGGUUGGCGGGGCUGCAUCAACUUGAUCUCUGGCCGAUCUUGUAAGUUCCGCUCAUCGAGUAAAUUCUAAGAGCGGGAAAACUGUCAAAAAGACUCCGUUUCCAACUCCCCGCCAGAUCACAAUCACCAAGGACUCGGACAAGAUGUCCGAGAUGGUUCAAGAAUCAGUUUAUCAAGCCUUCAUCGAUCAAUCCUCGGUGAUUUCUAAUACGGUAUACAAUGCCGUCAUCAGCUCCUUAGCUAGCGGUGUAUCUCAAGGGUACCAGGGGGCCGGCAUAUGCUCCGCCAAUUACUGCUCCGAACAAGAGUUAUCCAAAUACACCUUAUUCGGCUUCUCAGCCGAUCCAAAUUCCAGCUCGGGGUUCUGGCGCUUCCUCAUCAUCGAUCCCUAUGGGGUUUAAUGGCACACAAUACCUCCAGCCACGUCCCAUUCAGUUGUCCUCCGCGCAGUUUCCUCCGUUAAAUCCAGCGCCUUGGGGGGCACCAUCAGUGACGGCCGCCCCGGAUCAACCGACCAACCAUGGAAGUCCUCAACUCCAGGCAUCUUUCCAGGCGGCCACUAGGCCACUCAUGCCGCAGUAUCAGCCUGUCGCACCGGAGAUGAGCAGAGCGGCAGAAUCAACGGAAGUACUUCGGGGUGUUGCGCCACUCAUACUAUAUGACGAAGCGGGGGGCUCGUUCAAACAGCCGAUCCUGACUACGCAGCCGGCUAUGACACAUCAGACGUCGCACGCCUUCACUCAUCAUCAAGUCAUCCCACCGCCAAUAUACCAGCACGUACCAGUUCCCAAGCUGACGGUACACCAGCAACAGCCGGACUGGUCGGCGCGCAUAGCAGAGGUGAUUCAAGAGCAAUUCGGCUUAAAGCCGAAGGUACAGACCUACACAUACAGGACACCGUACCCGCCUACAUACGACUCACUGCCGUUUCCCCAUCGGUAUAAAGUUCCUGAUUUCACCAAGUUUUCGGGACUGGAUGACACCUCAACCGUGGAACACGUGAAUAGAUUCAUCAUCCAAUGCGGGGAAGCAGCAGCGCAAGAUGCUCUACGGGUGCGCCUUUUCUCGUCAUCCCUGUCUGGGUCAGCCUUUCAGUGGUUCACUACAUUGCCACCCAACUCGAUAAUUACGUGGGCUGACCUGGAAAGGCAGUUUCACAAGUAUUUUUACGCCGGGGUACAUGAGAUGAAGCUGUCCGAUUUGACCAGCCUCAGGCAGAGAAGCGACGAGCCGAUAACCUCAGAUGUACAGAGGUUCAGGGAAAUCAGAAAUAAGUGCUACUCCCUGGCCCUGACUGAUGCACAGUUGGCCAAUAUAGCCUUCCAAGGUCUCCUACCUCACAUCAAAGAAAAAUACGCCUCACAGGAGUUUGAGAGCUUGAGCCAAAUCGUCCACCGAUUGUCUGGUUAAGAAGUACGUCCUUUCGAUCCACGGAGGAACUUCCAGAAGAAGGUGGCAUACUUAGAAGAGGUUGAAACCGAAGAGGACACAGAAAUCGGCCUUGCGGAAUGGGUUAAAGGGAAGAAGCCGAUAUCAUGUCCGUUCGGGAAGAAGGAGCCGGAAACGUUCGGAUUUGACACAUCAAAGGCCGAUAAAAUCUUCGACCUCCUCCUCCAGGAAGGACAGAUCAAACUCUCGCCAUACCAUACGAUUCCUUCUGCCGAAUAGCUGAAGAAGAUGAAAUAUUGCAAGUGGCACAACGCUACCUCCCAUGAUACGAAUGAAUGCAAAAUCUUCCGGCAGCAGAUACAGUCGGCCAUUGAGCAGGGCAGACUCAAAUUUGAAGUACCAACAAAACCGGCCAAGCCGAUGAAGAUCGACCAGCACCCCUUCCCCACUAACAUGGUUGACACGGGAAAGAAUUCGCUCCAAACCAAGGUGCUGACAUCCGAAUCGGCUAAAAAGAGCGGCGCUGUAGACCCCAGAAAUCAAGCGGCGCCUGAAGACGUCAAGGGGAAACGGUGGAUGGAUGACGAUGACGACGGAUCAGGAGAACCACGCAGACCCAUUACUUCCCAAUUCCUGCUCAACAAAUAUCAACAGCAACAUGAACGUUCAAGGUCCCGGGAAGAGGCGAUGCGGAGACAUGAAGAUCACUGGCGGUGCCCGUUCUUCAUCCACUGCUGGGAAAGCAACCUCAGGUUGCCAUCGGUCGAUAAUUGCCCUGAAUGCAACGGUCCGUAUCGUCACAAUCAGCCAUUUAGAAGGUCUCGCUCCAGAGAUGGUAAAUCAGAGCCGAUCAGCAGGAACGGGCCGGGGGAGGGAGACGGCGGUGGCGCGGCGAGAUCCAUGGAGGGGGAGGGAGAUGGCGGCGCGGGCCAGGUGGAGGGUGAUGCCUGCCAUGGAGGUUCAGCAGGCGGUGACGACCGGCGGCGGCGGCACCGGCGGCUACGUCGAGUUCCUGGUGAGAUGCGUGGAGGGGCUCCUCUCGGUGCUGGGCAAGGUCUGGGGAGCCCUCUGGGCCGUGCUCACCCUCUGGGCCGUGCUCACCGUCACCGUCGUCAUGGAGUACACCGUCGGUACGCCUGUACGCCGCCGUGCAUCGCAGUUAGUUGUAGAGAUCAAUGACGUACAAGACGCAUGCAACAUCACGCGUGGACGGCUUGGGCCAGUGACGGCGGUGGCGUGUGGCCGGCAGUGGCGGCGGCGGCGGCGGCGGCCAGCGACUGGUUUUUUUAUUUUUUUUGUGAAAUUGUUGCCGAGUGUUUUUUGGGCACUCGGCAAAGCUUUUGCCGGGUGCCCGGCAAAAAACACUCGGCAAAGUUUGUUUACCGGCAGGAUUUUUGCCGUGUGCCCAUUGCCGAGUGUUACACUCGGCAAAGGGUUCGCCGAGUGUUUUUGGGUCUUUGCCGAGUGCCCAAGGCACUCGGCAAUGCUCCUGUCUCCCGUAGUGGUUUGUGGGGCAAAAACCCUUUGACCUCCCAAGUUCUACAUCAAGUAUAAAGAAGCGCGAAGCUUUAAUGGCCUCAUGACUUUUAAACCGAGAAGCAAAAUUUAGUUACCUUCGAACGUCGUUAGCAGGGCUCGAGAUUAACUUCACAAGUUGCGUGUCGGCAGUGAAGAAAACAGAACUUCUUUAACCUCGCACGUUCUACAGAGACACCUCUAAUAGUAAUAUUUGUACCUUUGCAUCACUUUUGUUACUAGGAGGACUCGAGGCUAAUAGUUGACAACAGUAAUGGCUAAACUCCAACUAAGCCGACCCUUGAGUGUUUGGAGUCAGUUCCAGACACCAAGCUUUUACCUUUUUGCUCUUUACUCAUGAAUAUACUUCUUGAGAACUGCCAUAAACCUCUCAAAAGGGAACGUAUUGUGUAGAAAUAUAGGAUCGAAAAUAAAAAUCUCUUCAACAAGGUGGACUAAAAGGUGGGUCAUGAUAUUAAAGAAGGAAAGUGGAAAGACCAUCUCAAAGCUGAUAAGACAUUGCACCACAUCAUUCUGCAGCUUUAAUAGAUUGUUUGGAUGGAUUGCCUUCUGAGAAAUCAUGUUGAGGAAUGCACAUAGCUUCAUGAUUGUCAUUAUCACAUUCUUUGUUAGAAUACCCCUCAAUGCAACAAGCAGCAAUUGUGUCAUCAGGACGUGGCAGUCAUGGGCCUUUUGAUUUAUGAAUUUUUUCUCUUUAAUAUUUAUUAUUCCCUGUAUGCCUUUUGAUUUAUGAAUUUUUUCUCUUUAAUAUUUAUUAUUCCCUGUAUAUUCCAGGAGUAGCCAGAUAGGACCUUGAUACUAUUCAAGCACUCAAACAUUCUUUCCUUCUCUUUCUUGUUGAGAGUGUAACUGGUAGGAUGCAAGUAAUGUCCAUUAUCACUCUUUUCCGAAUGUAGGUCAUCUCGUUGUUUCAUAUGUUUCGGGUUCCGACGUGUUUCAAUUGUAUCCUUUGCCUUUCCAUAUGUACCAAGGAAGCCAAGCACGUUCACGCAAAAAUUUUUCAUCAGGUGCAUUACAUUGAUUGCAUUACGAACCUUAAGGACUUUCCAAUAAGAUAGCUCCCAAAAUAUAGACUUCCUCUUCCACAUGGGUGCGUGUCCAUCCUCGUCGUUCGGAACAACUUGGCUGCUAGAGCCCAGCCAAAGACUACCCUCACAUCCUUUAUCAUAGAAAAUACAUGUUUACCAUUAUGGUGAACGGGUUUAGUAUGUUUUCUUUCCUACCCUUCAAAAUGCUUCCCUUUAUUUCUUAAUGGGUGCUUAGCAGGAAGAAAUCGAUGAUGUCCCGUAUACACAACCUUCCUACAGUUUUUCAAAUACAUAUUGCAAGUAUCAUCUAAACAGUGCGUGCAGACUUGAUAUCCCUUGUUUGUCUGUUCGGACAGAUUACCAAGUAUCGGCCAAUCAUUGAUUGUUACGAAUAACAAUGCUUGUAGAUUAAAAGUCUCCUUUUCAUCCUCAUCCCACACACAUACACAUUCUUCCUUCCAUAACAGUAAAAGUUCAUCAACCAACAGCCUUAGGUAAACAUCAAUGUCAUUGUCAGGUUGUUUUGGACCUUGGAUAAUUACUAGCAUAAUAAUAAACUUCCGCUUCAUGUACAUCCAAGGAGGAAGGUUGAACAUAAGGUCACUGCUGAACUCACCGAAUGGAUUGAAUCCAUCUGUACUUAAACCAAACCAUAUGUUCCUUGCAUCCUUUUCAAACUUGGGAAAUUCUCUGUCAACUGUUCUCUACUGGGACCCAUUAGCGGGGUGUCUAAUCAUUUUAUUUUGCUUACGUUCUUCUUUGUGCCAACGCAUCAACUUUACAUGUGCCUUGUUUCUGAACAAACGCUUCAAGCGUAGUACUACAGGGAAAUACCACAUUACCUUCGCAAGAACAUUCUUCUUGCUGACCUACCCCUCAACAUCACUAGGAUCAUCUUGCCUGAUCUUAUAAUGCAGUACUUCGCACAUAGGACAAGCCUCCAAUUUCUCGUAUUCCUCACCGCGAUAGAGGAUACAGUCAUUAGGACCUGCAUGUAUCUUUUGUACCACUAAACCUAGAGGGCAAACAACCUUUUUCGCUUCAUACAUUGAGGAUGGCAAUUCGUUCCCCUUGGGAAGCAUGUUCUUUAUGAUUUUCAUUAACUCAUCAAAACCCUUGUCAGAAGCUCCAUUUUUUUACUUCCAUUGCAGCAUUUCCAUUAUGGUACCCAACUUUUUGUUCCCCUGUUUGCAAUCAGGUACAACAAUUUCUUAUGAUCAUCUAACAUACGCUCGAACUUCUUUGACUCCUUCACAUUCUCACAGUCUUCCUUUGCAUCUCGCAACACCUGAUCUAGAUCAUUAGUAGGACCUUCCUCUGCAACCAUCUCUUUUUCAGCCUCGCCCGUUGCAACAUCUGCAAAGGCACCUCUUUGAGUCCAAUCAGAAAUGUAGUUACCAUCUUUUUCAUCAUCAUCAUCUUCCAUCAUAACUCUUCUUUCCCCGUGCUUGGUCUAAACGAAAUAGUCAGGCAUGAAUCCCGAACUGUAUAUGUGGGCGUGAAUAGUCUUUCUGGAUGAGUAAUCCUUCUCAUUUUUGCAAAUUCGGCAUGGACAACAAAUGAAACUAGACGACGUCUUGUUAGACUCUGCCGGAUCGAGAAAACCACGCAAGCCAUUAAUAUACUCCAUGGAGCCUUUUUCCGCGUUGUACAUCCAUUAUCGAUCCAUCUACAAAGUAUUACCGAACCAAUGAUAUUCUGAUCAUCCAUAGAAUUAUACAUGAAACAUAACAAACAUGAUACAAAUACCAUUAACCUCAAAUGUUGAUGAAAGUUUAGAUAGAAAUACACAAAUUUAAAUUUCAAACCCAAACAACAUGAUACACUACAACAAACCAUCCAAUGAGUACUGUCUAGGAGGACUUUAAGUAUCAUUGGGCGACGAAGAUGAAGGUUUCGGUGACCCAGCCUCAUCCUGUGGUUUAUUUGUGCCUCCUGAUACCCCAAGGACUAGUGGUGGAGCAUAACGACCACCAAAAGGAGGUUCCUAACCCGCCGUAACAGCAUCUUCAUGACAUCUUUGCAAACAACGAAGCAUUGCUCUCUCCCACGUGCUCAUUUUUUUAGCUUAUCAUGAGGGCCAACUAUGGUUUUGCACUUGCCACGAGAGGAACAACAUUUGCCCCCACCAACGCCACUACCCCCGCAGCAAUAGCCAUCUCUAUGUUCCACAAUUUAUUUAGCUCAUAUUUGCAAAUGACUAAACUAUGAACAAAUUAUAUUUUUUUACCACAAUUUAUUUAACUCAAACAUAACAUAUAAAUAAAAAAUUUCUCCAUUGUAGCUUAUUCUAAAAAUGACUAAUUACAUACCUCUAUUUCAUCUUAUUAUCUCUAUGUACCACAAUUUAUCUCGCUCAUAUUUGCAAAUGACUAAAAUAUGAAAACAAAUAUUUUUCCCCAUAAUUUAUUUAGCUCAUAUUUGUCAAAGCACUAAACUAUAAAAUUAUUCAUCUAACCUCACAUUAAUUUAUUUGACUAAUACAAAACAUAGCAUCCAAAAAAUUGUAGCUUAUUCUAAAAAUCACAAAUAUGAGCUCUAAAUAACACAUGCAUAUAAAUGAAAAAAAUUCAUUGUACCUUAUUCUAAAAAUUACAAAUUACUCUAGCUCUAAAGCAUAAAACUUAGUAUACUAACCAUGUAUCAAGGGAGGAUGAAGUUUCUAACCUUUAGAAAACUUGAAUGAGUAAAAUCCUCACGAAAUGGUCAAAAAUCCAGCAGCACCUCCCCUAUUUUACCGUGAAUGGAUGAAGCCCGAGCUGGAGGAAAUGGCUCGGGCAGGAGGAAGAAGAUGCCUGAUUUAUAGACGGGAAGUUAGUACCGGUUGGGGGUUCCAACCGGUACUAAAGAUCACCUAUUAGAGGCUCCACACGGUACUAAAGGCCCUCAGGCACAUUAAUUAGUACUGGGUGGAGGCUCCACCCGGUACUAAUAGGUGACUUUUAGUACUGGUUGGAGCCCUAACAGUACUAAAGGGGAUCAUAGGGGGCUCCUGGGAUCUAGUCGGUAGACUCGGUACUAUGCUCACAUUAGUACUAGAUCAUAACCAACCGAUACUAAGAGCUAGGACUAAUACUCAGUUUUCCAGCAGCGGCGUGCUCUCUGGACUUGCUGUCAUUGUUUUAAGCCAGUUUUUCUAUAGGGAAAGCCUACCUUAUCUUUUUCGAAACACUAUAGCUAUUUGCUCAUAUACGUACAUGCAUGCCAUCCUUAUCAAAUACAGCACAUGAAACCAUUUUUUUUUAUGAAGUCACUGCAGGUGCGGGCACAUCACGUGUCAAUAAAUGAAUAAUGCCAUUUAUUUCCAAAGUAAACCAAAAACUGCAAGCACUCGUGAUGAGUCUAGGGCUCAAAUUCAGGUUGUCUUACGAUUACCAAUAUUAAUUCUCAUGAAGGGCUCUAGAAAAAAGGUAAAAUCCUAGAAACAAAAGCAUGCUGCCAUCAAUUUUUAUACUCAAUCAUCAUUGAUAGCCACGUAAUCUGAUAUGCUUAUAAAUCAGCAUCUGCCACCAUGCAAGGCAAUCUGAAUUAAACCCUAAAUUUUCAUCAAAAUUAUCCAACUUUUCCACUGUAAAAGUAACUUAAAACAAUAAUCCCCUCAGGCCCGUUCGUUUUCACCGGAUUGGCCCGGAACGAGGCCUGUUUCGGAUGGUUUGAAGUGGCCCGGUUCGGAAUCACGCCUGCAUUGAAAGAGCUGUUCAUUUUGGCCCGGCUUGGAAAGAAAAUCAGCCUGGAUUGGAAUCCUCCCACACUCCAAGGCCCGGAUCGGAACCAUACCUCCUCACCCCCGGAACAAAUCCAACGCGAGGCAAGACGCGGGCGACGUGAGGUGCGGCUACGCUGGCGGCACACGAGGUGACGAGGUGGCGGCGUGGCGGCGUGGCGGCACGAGGUGACGACGUGGCCACACUGAAGGGCUACGAGGUAGUCUACGCUAGCACAAAACAAAAUUUUUCUACUACGUAAACCAGGAAUACUGCUGUUAUAGAUCACGGGAUUACCACGUCGAUGCACUAGCGCAGAUGCGGAAUACGCUAGCGUAGAUGCGGAAGUUGAUGAAGUGCGUCGGGGCAGUUUAGUCGAUCACAUGUCGGCGCAGUGUAGUCGAACACAUCCAUGUCAAGCAGCUCCUCGUGCAGCAGCUCAUCCACGUGCAGCGAUGUCCUCCUUGUGCAGCGGCUCGUCCACGUGCACUAGCUCAUCCACCUCAUGCACCGGCUCAUCCACGUGGUACAGCGGCUCGUCCAAGUGCUGCAGAUGCAACACCUCCAAGGUAUCCACACAUACGGGAAGGAAGUGUCGCAAACCGGACUGCUAAAUCCGCGAGUGCAACUCGACGAUGGCGUGGGAGGUGCGGCGGCUGCUUGGCCUAAAAGAUUAACCCUAAGCCGCCCCCACCCCUCAAUAUAUAUAGGGGUCCCUGACGGGCCUCUGGGUCCGAGGCCCAUUAGUACUCCUAAACCUAGUCCAAUUCGGAUCAUAUCCUCAUUGGGCUUCUAGCCCCUUAAGUGCGCGACCCUAUAGGUUCAUAUAUGUAUUAAUAUGACGCGAGUACUCCUACUCGCCCAAUAGUUGGUAGUGGCCUCUAGCAAGAAAUGCCAACUCCUAUACGCACACGAAGAUCAUAUCAAACAAAUCAUCACAACAUCACGUACAUGCUAUUCCCUUUGCCUCAUGAUAUUUGGUUUAGCUCCAAGCUAACCUCUCUUUCUCGAACUUGUGAUUCGAAAUCCCUUUCUAGAUUAACUUUUAACCUCACGUAGCAUGGCCAUGCAUUUUCGGAUCCAAUCACUCGAGGGGCCCAGAGAUAUCUCUCUCAAGUAGAGAGGGGAAAAUCCCAUCUUGACUGAUCAUGCCUCACAGCAUGUCGCCUUUAAUGGAUAUUCAAGGAAUACAAUAUAAAUCAUGGAUACAAUGGAAUAUCAUCAUCUCUAUGAUUGCCACUAUGGCAUAUCUCCAACAGGCACGGCACAUCCCCAACGGCGACCGGCUCCUGUCCAGCCUCCACCCUCUCCGCCGCCUUCUCACCGUAAGCGCCUCCCUCUCUUCCUUCCCCUCUCCUGUCCGACCGGCGAGGUUCUUGUUUGCUGUGGCCGGCCGGCGAGGCCCAGCCAGGAUGGCUGAUAGGAGGUUCAUUUUCUCGGCAUGACAAUAUGACCUGACGUCAGGAUUCGCUCCAUUUAACCUGACGUUGGGCGUUGAGCCGCUGACGAUGAUGACCGAGCUCACUGGCGGGGCGCAAACGCUGGCGGUGGUAGAUGUGGCUUUGGGGCUCUGAUGGGGAUUUGCUUGUGCCUCGUGCGCCGUUUUGUCUGUGGAUGGGAGUUGUUGGUGCUGGAGGCGCAGAUUGUUCGCGGUCGUGGAGGCCUUGGGGUCAAAUUGGGCGCUCCGAACUCUGAACGCAAUGGAUCCAGCAACUCCAAAUUCUGAUGCUGUGCCACCCAAUGGAUGCUGUGCUUGGUCCUAGAAAAAACGGAUGUUGUGCUUGUUAGUUGUCGCAAUGGAAGUAGUGCUCAUGGCUAAUUGGACAAUUCACUAAAACCUGAAUCCAAACAUCUAUAUAUGCUCUGCAUAUUUACUUCCCCAGUCCAUCUAUGUGGUUUAGAUAGAAGGUGUCCUCAGUUUUACUCUUUCCACAUUUACCAACACAUUAGUUUUGCCUAUUUAUUGAUAUUACUUGUACCUGAGAUGUGUGCUCUGAUCAUAAGUUUUUCACCUUAGCCUGGACAAUCCUUUGAGGAGUUAAUUCCAUAUGGGUUGUUCCUUUUCAAUCCCUUCAUUGUAAUUCAUAUCUCACUAGUAUAAGAUUAGCUCACUUGGGUUGAUAUGCCUUAAUUUGAAAUGCAAUUCUAUGUUUUUUGAACUAAGGAGAGCCGCCGUCCAUAAGGUGGUUGGUCUCCCUAUUGCUAUUGGGUGGGUGGUGCACCAGAAUCACAAUUGUUCCUUUCAAUGUAUAUAUUAUCUUGUCAUUUUCAGUGUUUCUUUCUUCAGAAAUUCCAUUUUCAGUUACAGUGGGACCUUUUCAUGCGCAAUAGAUUAGUUGCAGCUGUACUUGUUGGCAUCUGAUCAUGGUGUUGGCAUCUGAUGUGCUGACUUUUUCUUGUUACUUGUAGAUUCCACCAGCACCAUUAAGACUUGGGGAAGGUGUUGGAGCCUAAAAAUGGCAGCACUGCCGACCAGGCUGAAUCAGCCGGUCAGACCGAUCUCUUUGAGCGGUCUGACCGGUCUAGCCGCUGUAGCUGGUCUGGCACAAGCCAGCUGGUCUGACCGGUUGCACCAACCGGUCAGACCGGUCAGCCUGGGUUCGAGGCAAAAUUAGGCAUCCUGGUCGAAUUGGAGUUGAAAUGGGAUUUCCUUGCGGGAAAAGGCCUCCCACCCUAUAAAUAUAGAGGGUCCUAGCCGAUUGAGGGCUAAAACCCAAUCGUCAAACAACCUUUUUACCUUUUAUCUCCAAACCCUAACUUUUCCAUCCCCCUUGCUUUCCUCCUUCAUCUCGACGGCAUUUGAGGAGGCUCUGAGUGGCCUGACCGAUCUCAGACCAAUCCUAGGCGUGCCAUCUCCGACGAGGUCCCUCGUGAGGCGGCGUUCUUAGGUUUUCACGACGUCCCUGCAAGGACCGAUCUGACCGACCUGCCUUACCGGUCUGAUCGGCCUAAUGCAGAGGCGCCAACGAGGUGAUUGCUUAACGCACGCGCGAGCUAGCGCACUCAUGUGUCGAACAGAAAAAGCAUCAACACAUUUUGGCAACUCCGCUGGGGACAAGAUCUUGUUUUAUAACCGUUCCGGAAAACCUUACCAAGAUGGGAUCUACUACAGACCUUGACAAGGACAACAUCAUCACGACCUCCGUGGAGGAUCUCAGUGAGGAGGAGGAGCGGAAUCUCACGACCCUGCAGGAAUACGCCAAGAUGCAGUAUCUCACGGGUGUCAAGAAAGAUUGCAAGGGCAAGACAAUGAGAAUGCACGACUUCGAGUUGCCCGCAAUCAAGAUGAGAGAUAGCAUCGUCGAAGAAGUACGCAAUGUAAGUAAUCUCCCCUCCGACCAAGCCGCCGUUAAUGAUGGGCUCCGUAAAGUCUUGCUGAUCAAAAUAGGAUCACUAAUGCAUUAAUGGCUCGGAUAGAUCAACUUGUAUGAAAUAAAUCCAUUUCUUAUAAUAAAAAUAAUUUUUUGCAAGUUGACUCGCGUGGGGCUGCACAAACUAGUUCAUCGGCAAAUAUGGGAGCCAUCUCUGAAAACCCUGCAUACGGCAUGCAGUUGAACUUCUAUUUGAGGCAAACACCACCUUGAACCCAGCCGCAACAGCCGAGCAUAGCUGGAGCGGUCAGACCGGUCUAGGCGACCCGUCAAACCAGUGUAGCCUUUCAGGCCGGCCAGCUGACCAUCAUCCCUGAAACGCCAGUGCCGAUCGCUGUUGUGCCAAGCUCGGUCGCUUUUAACAUGUUGGUGAGCUUGGGAUUAACCCAUCCUUAUUUAGCACAAUAGCAUACACGUCACCUCCAAUCCCCAACAACGUUGUUGCAUCUAGAGGAGUUUCAAAUGACGUGUUUUCUGAUUUACACCGCAUUCAGAACGGCAACCCACCCCAUGCGAGUACCGUGAACCCAUCGGCUCAAGAGUACUCAGAAUUGCCCUCCCUUCGUGAAAUUAGAAAAUUCAAAGAAGAGAUGUUGGCUUUGAUGCAGAGUAAAUACAGCAUAGAUACUGGAAGUUCAAAAUUAUAUCAAAAGCCGUACCAAGCUGAUUUUGACUGUGUUCCCUACCCUGUCGGUUGGUGCACGCCCAAUUUUGUUAAAUUCAGUGGCGAAGAUAACCGGAGCAUAUUAGUCAAUAUCUGGCUCAACUAGGUGAAGCGGGUUAUUAUAAUGCUUUGCAUGUUCGCUUAUUCUCUUUGUCAUUAACUGGAACCGCUUUCGCUUGGUAUUCAUCCUUAGCUCCCGGCUGUAUUGAUUCGUGGGAACAAUUAGAGCAGAAAUUUCAUGAUCAUUUUUAUAUUGGGAACUUCCAAUUAAAACUGACAGAUUUAACAUUGGUUAGGCAAGGUAAGGAAAAAUCUGUCUUUGAUUAUAUAAGACGGUUCAAAGAAACUAAAAACCGAUGCUUUAACUUGUCACUUUCGGAUAGUGAUUUAGCCGAUCUUGCCCUUAAGGGUUUGAUAUCCUCUAUUAGGAAUCGGCUAGAAGGUUUUGAGCUUCACACCAUUGCACAAGUCCUUAUGAAGGCUUUGACAUUGGAACUUAGAAUUGCUAAGGAAAAGGAUAGCUUCAAGUCUCAUCGGUCUAAUAUGCAUGCCAUUGAGUAUGAUUCCGAUAGUUUGAACGACGAUGAUAAUGAAGUUUAUAUUACUGAAUUUGUGUGGCCUUCCAAAGCUAAAUCUUACUCUUGUGCAUCGCUUAAGCCGGCCCAAAAGAGUCAGCAAGAAGAAGUAAAAUUUACUUUCGAUGUUUCCAAGUGUGAUCGUAUUUUUGAUGAGUGGCUUAAACUUGGACAUUUGAAAAUAACUCAUACCAUGCCUCCACUUGAAGAAUUGAAAAGGAAAGCAUAUUGCAAGUUUCAUAAUUAUUUUUCUUAUGCUACUAACGAUUGCAUUGUGUUCCAUCGACAGGUUCAAUCGGCUAUAAAUGAAGGCCGGUUGACGUUCCAUGAAAUGCAAGUGGACAAAACUUUGUUCCCUGUCAACACCAUGGACAUUCAGCAGCCCAAGGUGUUGGUUUGGCCGCAAAAAGCCGAAGCAAUUAAGGGCAAAAAUGUGGUAAUCGGGGAAGAGAAGCCCGAUUUGAGAGGCAUGGAGUUGACAAGGGAAGUGGUGUACGAGAGAACUCCAGAUGGCAAAGAGUCAUUCAAAAUCACUGUAACAGCCUCUGGACAUGGGGGGCAAGCAUCGUACGCAACAUCUGGUCAAAAGCCGCUCGAGCCUGCUGAUCAGGCUGGACCGGUCAGACCGGUGCAGGAGACCGGUCUGACCCAGGGCCGCCCCCGAAUGUUGAAACCCAAGCGCCCGGAGAUCGGGACCUGGAAGCUCAACAUGGCAAAAGAUUAGGGGAGCAGCCCCAGGGAGAAAGUUACCUUUGAUAUGCUUCUAAACAAGUAUACCAAAGAAAAGGCCGUUACAAGUGAUCGGCCGAUAAAAAAGAGAGUGAGGUCACCUACUCAUCAAAGGGGAAAAGGUUCAAAGCUGAGAGCGGUUGUUAGGCAGAGAGGUGAUCAAGUUCAACCAAGGUGGUACCCCUCCACAUCUUGGGCUCCUCAGAUGUCAAAUGCUCCAUGCCCGAUGUGGGAUGAUAAUGGGGUGAUAUGGGUGCCCUAUCGAUCUGUGCAACAGCCAUCUUUCUAUCCUGGAUGGGGAGGCUCCAGAAGUUGGUUUUGGACAGGAUCUCAUGCCCUGUGCAUGGCCGAUGGACACCUCACUCAUCUAGUUAGGGUCAGCAGACCCAACCGGUCAGACCGGUCUACCCUGAACGGUCAGACCGGUCUGUUCAGGCACCUCGCGUUUCUCCUCCAAGGCAAGUGUAUCGUCCUAAACAAAAGGAGGAAAUCCAGAAGAUGCAAGUAGACCUAGAGGAAAGAUAGAGAGGAAGCUACUAUCCAGAUUGGAUCUAUGAAAAUUCCCGUCAAAGCUAAUGCGGAAAGACCGGUUGGUGUAAGCGAUCUGGUCACAUCUCCUGUUCAGAAAGUAUCGUCUACCAAUGAUCAUGAUCCUAGCAGUAGUGGGUCGAGUUCUAAAUAUUUCCUACCAAGGUGGUGCCCUCCCGGGUUGACUCGCACAUAAAGGAGGAAAUUGCAGAGGCUAAGGUUGCAAGAGAAAAGGGAACAGGAGCUAGAGGGACAAAGGGAUGAGGCGUUCAACAAGUAAAGGCCCAUAGCGCCUUAGAAGAAGGAGUGGAGAGCAAAGGCUGACGCCCCGGCUCCACCGGUCAGACUGGUCGAGGAACCGGUCAGAUCGGUCGAGGCAUCUAGAUCAGUGCCUGAACCGGUCAGACCGGUCCAGGAACCGGUUAGACUAGCCCUGUCAGAAACUUUACCUGAUUUUGCUCUUUCUGAUCCUAUGGCUUGUGACAACGAGUUGACAUCAGUCCGUGAGACAGAUGAUGAUGAACAACUUGUCGAUUACAGUGCUUCGCCUGAGAGCAUGACAUUGGAUAUAAAUGUGCUUCAUAUGUCGAUGGAUGGUUAUGCACUCUUGGAGGAGGAUUUGGCUCACCUUGACUUUGGGCCUAAGGAAGCGGUGUUCCAGAAGCCUAAAGCCACUAAUAAUCAUCUGAAGGCGCUAUACAUGCGAGGCCAUAUCAAUGGGAAGCCAAUUUCUCGAAUGUUGGUUGAUGGAGAGGCAAUUGUCAACUUGAUGUCCUAUUCUUUGUUCAAGAAAUUGGGAGGUUCAAAUGAAGAGCUGAUCAAGACCAACAUGACCAUCAGCAGUGUGGGAGGAGGCGAACUUAUGGGAGCUAAAGGUGUUGUCUCUAUGGAGCUCACCAUUGGGAGCAAGAUGUUGGCUAUUGCUUUCUUCAUCGCCGAGACCCAAGGUAACUUCAGUUUAAUUUUGGGUCGUGAUUGGAUUCAUGCAAAUCAAUGUAUUCCUUCUACGCUGCUUCAAUGCUUGAUCCAAUGGGUCGGUGAUGAAGUAGAGGAUGUGCAUGGUGAUACGUCAGCUUGUGUUGCUGUAGCCGAUAGUUCUACCAUGAGUGCUCAUGAUAAAGUUAAGUGCUUAUCUAGCAUAGACCUUUCAGAUUGUGAGUACAUCAGUUGCACAAAGGACAGUUUUGUCACUAUUGUAUUAAAGCUGAUUGAUGAUCAGCUAGCUUAUUGCAUAUAAUGUAAUGGAUGUAAAUCUAGAAUGGCUGCAGCAGAGGUUAGAACACUAUCGGGCGCAAAAGAACGAUAUGUGUGAGGCCAUUGAGGACCUUGAUGACAUGAGUAAAUUAGGACAAGGGUUCACUUCAGCCAAUCCUCUAGAGGAGGUGGAUAUUGGUGAUGGUACUACACCAAGGCCAACGUUUGUAAAUAAAAAUCUUGAGCCUACUUUUAAGGUUGAUUUAAUAAAGUUGUUGAAAGAAUAUGUCAACUAUUUUGCAUGGAAUUAUACUGAAAUACCUAGUUUAAACCACGAGCUAGUUGAGCAUCAGCUGCCUAUCAAACCUGGUUUCAGGCCUCAUAAACAACCUGCUAGGCAUUUUAAUCCUAUUAUUUAUGACCGAGUGAAGGAAGAAAUCAAUCGGUUGCUUGAUGCUAAGUUUAUUAGGCCUUGUCGAUAUGCUGAUUGGGUUUCUAAAAUUGUGCCUGUUGAGAAGAAAGGUACAGGAAAGCUCCGCGUAUCCAUUGACUUUAGAGACCUUAAUAGAGCUUCACCUAAAGAUGAAUAUCCUAUGCCUAUAGCCGAUGUACUUAUUAAUGCUGCAUCUGGUCAUAGAAUGAUUAGCUUUCUUGAUGGCAAUGCUGGAUACAAUCAAAUCUUUAUGGCCGAAGAGGAUAUAUCCAAAAUAGCCUUUGUGUGUCCAGGAUUUGUUGAUUUGUUUUAGUGGUUGUUAUGACGUUUGGCUUGAAGAAUGCUGGUGCUACUUAUCAAAGGGUUAUGAAUUUGAUUUUUCAUGAUUUGCUUGGAAUAGUACUGGAAGUAUAUAUCGACGACAUCGUUGUAAAAUCGGCCGGGACAGAACCCCAUUUGGCUAAUUUGAGACUUGCAUUAGAGAGGACGCGUCGGUAUGGUUUGAAGAUGAAUCCACUCAAAUGCGCUUUUGGUGUAUCGGCUGGAAAGUUCUUGGGCUUUGUAGUGCUUGAGAAGGGUGUUGAGAUUGAUCCUAAAAAGAUUGUGUUUAUUAGAAAACUACAAGCUCCUACCUACAAAAAAAGUGUUGCAGAAGUUCUUGGGCAAGGUGAAUUAUUUGAGGAGAUUUAUUUGCAACUUGUCCGGGAAGGUAAAUGCAUUUACUCCUUUACUUCGGUUGAAGAAUGAAGCUGAUUUUACUUGGGGGGCAAAAUAGCAAGAAGCAUUUGAGGAAAUUAGGAAUUAUUUAUCUUCACCGCCCAUUCUUCAGGCUCCAAAGCAUGGUAUUCCUUUUAAAUUAUAUAUAGCUGCUAAAGCGGAUGCCAUUGGGGCUGUUUUGACUCAAGAAACUGAAGGGAAGGAGCAUGUUAUUACUUAUGUCACUAGAAGGUUAUUGGACACCGAAUGAGGUACACUUCUAUUGAAAAGUUGUGUUUAUCAUUGUAUCAUGCUUGUACCAAGUUGCAGCAUUUUUUAUUAUCAAAUACUUGCAUAGUAGCUUGUCAAACCGACGUAAUUAAAUACAUGUUGCAAAAACCUAUUUUGAGUGGUAGAAUCAGCAAAUGAGUGUAUGCUCUCAUUGAAUAUGAUUUGGUUUGUGAACCGUUGAAAUCAAUGAAGGGUCAAGUUGUAGCUGAUUUUAUUGUUGAUCAUAGAAUUAAUGAGCAACUUGAUUUAGAUGUCGGUUAUGUCACUUUUACCCCUUGGAAGUUGCACUUUGAUGGAUCGGUUUGCAAAAGUGGUUGCGGUGUUGGUGUGGUGCUUAUUUCACCCAACGGGGCUGUUUUUGAGUUUCUUAGCCGAUUAGAUCACAAGUGUACCAAUAAUCAAACUGAAUAUCAGGCUUUGCUAUUCAGUUUGGAAAUUUUACAAGAGAUGGGGGUGAAACAUGUUGAAGCUUAUGGUGAUUCCUUACUGGUUGUACAACAAAUACCCAAGGUAUGUCAGUGUCUAGAUGGAUUUCUAAAUGCUUAUCUUGAUAAAUGUCUAGACAUCAUAUCUUGCAUGGAUGAAUUUGUUAUUUAUCACGUACUAAGGGAAGAGAAUCUGAGGGCUAAUGCUCUAGUACAACAAGCGUUUGGCUAUAAUAUCCAGAAAAGGAACUUUCAUGAAAGAAAGCCGACGCUUUGUGAGGCCGAGUGUUACGUCCUGGAGGGACCGGUCCAACCGGCCUCCAAAAUCGGUCUGACCGGUCCAACUGGUCUGACCGUCCAGCCAGCCGAUUUGACCGGUCUGUCUGAAGAAAGCUUCGCUUCGGCCAUGGAUCGUCCAAAACUUGCUAAGGAAGAAGUGGAUGACUGGAGAGCACCUCUAAUUAAUUAUUUGCGGGAUCCUAAGCGUUUAGUUGAUAGAAAAGUCCGAUGGUGGGCGCUCAAGUUCACUUUGGUAGAAGGUGUAUUGUAUCGUCGGCGAUUGACAGAUUGCUUUUAAAGUGCUUGGAUUCUGAUCAGGCCAGAUUGGCUAUGGCAGAGGUGCAUGAAGGGGUUUGUGGUACACAUCAAUCGGCUCGCGUGAUGAAAUGGCUCCUUAAGCAAGCUUGCUUUUAUUGGCCUAAUAUGAUAGCCAAUUGCUUUCGCUACUACAAAGGUUGUGAAGAAUGUCAAAGGUUCGGGGAUGUUCAGUUGGUACCUGCUUCAUUGAUGCAUUCAAUUAUAAAGCCGUGGACGUUUAGAGGAUGGAGAUUGGGUUUUGUCGGUAAGAUUCAUCCUUCUACAUCAAAGGGGCAAUGUUUUGUGAUUGUGGCUACUAAUUAUUUUCUACCAAGUGGACUAAAACAAUUCCCCUUAAGAACAUGACACAUCAGAAGUGAUUGAGUUUAUCAGAGAGCAUAUUAUACAAAGAUUUGGUAUUCCACAAACUUUGACUAUGGAUCAGGCGACUUCGUUCAUGUCUAAAGAGGUGCGUGAGUUUGUGGAAUCUUAUGGUAUUAAAAUACUCAAUUCAUCUCCUUAAUAUGCUCAAGCCAAUGGUCAAGCUGAGUCUAGCAACAAGAUUUUGAUAAAGCUCAUUAAGAAGAAGAUAGAAGACAAUCCUAAAAGAUGGCAUGAGGUAUUAUCUGAAGCUUUAUGGGCUUAUCGUAUCUCUAGACAUGGCGCAACUAAAGUUACUCCUUUUGAGCUUGUCUAUGGUCAAGAAGUUGUUUUGCCCGUUGAGGUAAAUCUGGGUGCAUAUAGGGUGGCUAAGCAAAAUGAUCUUGAUUUUAACACCUACUAUGUCUUAAUGAUGGAUAAUAUUGAUGAGGUGACCAACAAGCGGAUGGAGGCUUUAGUGGAAAUUGGAAAGGAUAAAAUUCAGGUGGCGAGAGCAUAUAACAAGAAGGUUAAGGCCAAAACAUUUCAGGUAGGAGAUCUGGUGUGGAAGACUAUUCUACCUAUAGGAACCAAAAGCAAUAAAUUUGGAAAAUGGUCUCCAAGUUGGGAAGGGCCAUACAAGAUUACAGCUUUGCUCCGAAGAAAUUCCUAUAUGGUGGAGACUUUAAGUGGAUUUCAGCUACCAAGAGCUUUGAAUGGGAGGUACUUGAAGAAAUACCAUCCAAGUGUUUGGCAAGACGUUUAAAACAAUAUGGCCGAUGUUUUGAAAUAUCAUCCUUAGAAGCAAAUGGCCGAUCGGAUCCAUCGCCCUUGGUUUAUUUCUUGGUACGCAAGCUUUACCAAGAAAUAGGGGGCAUGUUUUGGAGCCCAGAAGUGGCAGCAAUGCCGACUAGGCUGAAUUAGUCGGUAAGACCGGUCUUUUUGAAUGGUGUGACCGGUCUGGCCACUGUAGCCGGUCUGGCCACUAUAGCCGGUUUGGCACGAGCCAGCCGGUCUAACCGGUUGCCUCGACCGGUCAGACCGGUCAGCCCGAGUUCGAGGCAAUUUAGGAGUCAUGGUCGAAUUGGAGUUGAAAUGGGAUUUCCUUGCGAGAAAAGACCUCCCACCCUAUAAAUAUAGAGGGCCCUGGCCGGUUGAGAGCUAACACCCAAUCAUCAAACAACCUUUUACCUUUUAUCUCCAACCCUUUUCCAACCCCCUUGCUUUCCUCCUUCGUCUCGACGGCGUUUGAGGAGGCUUUGAGUGGCUUGACCAAUCUCAGAGCAACUCUAGGUGCGCCAUCUCCAACGGGGUCCCUCCCGAGGUGGUGUUCUUAGGUUUUUGCGACGUCCCUGCAAGGACCGGUCUGACCGACCUGCCUUACCGGUCUGAUCAGCCUAGUGCAGAGGCGUCGACGAGGUGAUUGCUUAAUGCACGCGCGAGCUAGCAUACUCGUGUGUUGACCAGAAAAAGCGUCAACAGAAGGUGAACCACCCCCUUCUUGGGAUCCGAUACCAACUCUAGUAGGUACAAAAUUCUAUCUAUGUUUAAGUCUUUCAUUUUUUUUUCUAUUUAACCUAUUCAGCCUUUCAUUUUUCUAUUGCGAUGAGUAAAAUUGCCAUUGAUAACCUGUUUAGCCUUCCAUUUUAUCUAUUUAGCUUCUAUCUAACUAUAAAUUCAUGAGAUAAGUGAUGAAAAGGAUGAAGAAAAGGAUGCAAGAGAUGAAGAAGAGGAGGCAAGAAGUGGACAAACGAAGAAUGGCUGCAUCAAGAAAGAAACCAGAAAAGGAAGGACAAAGGCCUAGAAAGAGUGCAAAAAUUGAAGCCAUGAUGGAGGAAAUGAGGACAAAGCAAGCAGAAGAUGAAGCUAAACAGCUAGCAAAAGAAAAUGAGGCAAGAGAAAAGGAGACAAGAGAAAAGGAGGCAAGAGAUAAGGAGGCUGCUAAAGGUGAUGAAUUCUCGAUCAAAAGGUGCAUAUCGAUCAUCAAUACAAUGGAAGUGACCAAACAAGAAAAGGUCAAAGCUUAUGCAAUCUUCACCAAGAGCAAACAAAACAAAGAGACUUUCAUUUGUGCUAGUGAAGAAGAUGAAGAAUCCGCUUUGAUUUGGCUUAGGAAUGAGAUGGCCUAGCAGGUAUUGACUCCCUUUGCUUGAUAGCUUUCAUUAUGCAUUUAUAUUACUAGUGUGAAUAGAACAUAGAAGAAUAGUCUCCAUUGGAAGGCUGGUGGUGGUUCAGUUUGUCCUUGCCCGGAUGAACCGAAAAUAAAAUUGCUGCGGAGCUGUGCUUUUGCUAGUGAUCUUUAGGAUUGGAUGUGUGGUUAUGCUUAUUAGUAGUGUGCAAUUGCUACCUGUAGCAAUCUGUGCUUUUGAUUGUCAACUACUAGACAUGUAUGAAGAAUGAUGAUCCAUCUUGUUUUGUUAUGAUGUGCAGUUGAAGAAGAAUUGUCUGCUGCAUUGUGGCAUAGGCUUCUCAGGAUGAUCACCCUGAUGCGCUUCGGUGUAGAUGCAGGAGAUAUUUACCUUCUUGGGUUCUAAUUUAAUUUUUAGCUCAUCAAGAUUCUGGUCAUGUUCAUACAUGUAAUUUAAUUUUUAGCUCAUCAAGCAUGGUUUUAUGUAAUGUGAGGAUAACCAUAUGUUGCUUUGUGACUGAGAUUUCUAGCACUAAAGGUUUAUUCCCUGUAUCAAUUCCUGUCCAACCGAACAAUUCCUCUCCAAUCCUUGGAUCAAAUCCAGCCGGUUUAAACCCACGCCUGAUUGAGUGACACGUCUGGAUUCACCCAAUCCUAACCUGGAUUAGAUACACGGCUGGAAUUAAUCCAGACCAGCCGAACGAGGCCAAGUCUAUAUAUGGAGACGUAUUGCACCCACGAGGGAGGCUAUAACAAAUUGAGCAAAACAGAAGCACGCACCAUGGCGCUCAGCAAGGAGCAACACAGCAGCAGCGCUGAUCAGCAGGCCGUGCGGCUGGAUGCUCAGGUCCAGCUCUGGCAUCACACCUUCGGCUACGUCAAGUCCAUGGCGCUCAAGACCGCCCUGGACCUCCACAUACCCGACGCCAUCCACCAACAUGGCGGCUCAGCCACCCUCCCACAGAUAGUCACCGAGGUCACACUCCACCCGUCAAAGAUACCAUGCCUGCGAC